rnacentral:lncRNA from 1 species
CUCAGGUAGAGGUCAAAGAGUUUUUCCAAUUAAAGUGACGGUAUUGAAUAGGGAUUAUUUUUAUUAUUUUUAGAGUCGUAACUUGGAAUCGAGUUAUGGUGUUCCAAGUCACCUUUUUGAAUCCCUAGUCAAAAGAAAAUGACUCUUUUAUUUUGGUCUGCGAAAAUAGAAGAUCGGAUAAGGAAUUCUGUUGACCGAGGGGAAGGUGUGAGGCACCCCUCGAGUCCCGUGGUUCUAGCACGGUCGCUUUAUUGACUUAUACUUAACUUAAAUUAUUUAGAAAAAUCAUGUUAAGGCCUAAAUUUGCUCAUUUUUAAUAUACCUAUAAUAUCUCUAUAUCUCGUAUAUUAAAUAGGUGAAAAAUUAAUUUUAAAAAUAUUUAUCAAAGUGCAUUAUUACAUCCUUGAAUUACUUGAAAAUAUCUCAGAAAGAUGUGUGCGCCGCAUUCUUAGUUGAGACGAAAAUUUUAAAUGUUUCAAAAAUUCGCCUAACGUUAAAGACAUCUGCUUCAUCUUUCGUAAACUCGAAAUAAUUUUACAUUAUCCAUUUUUAUUCUUUUUCUCUCUUUAUUUUGCAACAAAUUUUGAAUUAUUCCGCAACUCGUCUCGCUCCCUUACAAAUGGGUUUUUCCUCUCUUUUCAGUUUAUCAAUUAUGAUUUAUAUAUACAUAUUUUUAAAUCUGUUUAAGCUAAAGGGAUUAAUCUUACUCUUGCGAACAAAUUAUUAAUAUAUAAACUUAACAAAACUACUUAAAAUCCAAAUUAACAUAAUCAAGUAAAAAAGUUAAUUAAUAAAACCACUUUUAACAAAAUUAUCACAAUGAAGUUAACAAGAAAAGAAAAGAAAAUAAUAAUAAUAAUAAUAAUAAUAAUAAUAAUAAUAAUAAUAAUAAUAAUAAUUACUUAACAAAUGUAAAACUGUUAUCCACUUUUUUUAAAAAAAAAAUUCUUUAUAUGUUUUUUUUUUCACGUUUUUCUCUAAGUUGUUUCUAACUUUGUAUGUGCAUGGAAACUUUUAGUGUGCAUGCACCUAUCUAUUUUAAUCCCUUUUUAAUUAUACUAUAAAAUUUUCAUAAUUCAUUAAAAAAUAAAAAAUACAAUGACAAAAUAAUAAAUUGGCAUUUAAAAAAAAUGUUAUAUUUUUUAUCAUCCAAGAACUUUAAUAUUUAUAAUUAACAAAAUGAAUCAAGAAGAACAGUAAGCAAACAAGUCACAACAUAACAAUUGACAAUCACUUACACACCAACUAAGAUUACAUUUUAUCUUUGAUUCAAUACAAUAAAUAAAUUACAAAUAAAAACAUAAAACAAUAAAAAAAAAGAACUUUACAUGAAUAUUAAACUUUAAAUCUUAAAUUACGAAAUUAUUAAAAUAACUUUAAUCAUUAUUUGAUUCAUAAGAAAACAUACAAAAUAAAUAGAAAAGAUCUCAAGUAGAACCUGUGAGAUAAGUUAACUUAAGAUGGAAAUGAAAAUGUCGUCACCGAAAAACUUAAACGGGGACCCAAACUCUAAGAACUUCUCAUUUCUUUUUCCCUUUUUUGUUUUUCUCACUAUUUCUUGUUUUCACUCAUUGUUUCUUGUUUCCAGUCCUUUUUUUUUCUAAGUGUUUUUCUUUUCCAUUUUUUUGUCCGUGAGUCUUGGUUUUGGUUUUCGUUUUAGUUUAUCUCAAGUUUUUUAUUUUUUUGUUUUUUCUGUGAGUUUUUUUCUCUUUGUCAUAUGUUGUGUGUUGUGUUAUAUAGAUAUGUAGGAGGGGGGGAAUUGAGGGAGUUGGAGGGAAAGUUGGGGUGGUUGGGGGAGUUUAGGAUAGGAUUAGAUUUUUAAAUUUUUAAAUUUUUUCUUUUCCUUUUUAAAACAAAAGAAGAUAAUGACAUAUAAAAAUAAUAAAUAAAUAAAAGAAUAAUAAUAAUAAUAAUAAUAUAAUAAUAAUAAUAAUAAUAAUUAAUUAAUUUUUAUAUUUAAGAAAAUACAAUAAAAGUUUUAAAAUAGUUAAAAAAUAAAUAUAAUUAAGAUAGUAUUAAAACUACUAACUUAUUUGUAUUUAAAAUUUAAAAAGAAAACUAUUUUUUUUAAAUUCUUUUUUAUUAUUUUUAAAAAAUUAGAAUAAAAUAAAAUAAAAUAAAACAUCUCAAAAUUAAAUUUAUUUUUUAACUACAAAUUUAUUAAAAUAAAAAUAAGAAUUUAAAUAAGAUUAGACCAAAUAUAAAUAUUUAAUAUCAAAAAAUAUAUAUAUAUAACUCGGGGAGGAUCAAAAUCACGUGUCUACAUUUUGCCCCUCUUUGUUUGAAAUCUCAAAGAGUUUUCAAACAAAGAAUAGACAAAGAGAUGAUUUUUGACCCUCCGAUUAUUCUAAAAGUAAAUAAAAAAUAAAUAAAUAAAAAAUAAAAGAUGUGACGGAGUCCUGGUUUUGGACCACCUACAUAUCCCGGAUUUUAAGGGAAUCAAUCACAUGUAGUUCAAUGAGGUAAAAUGGUGAGAUGGUGAGUUAGAGAUCGAGUGAGGUUCCAUCGAGUUUCCGGUUGACGACUUCUCCUUUUACAUUUACAUGAAUAACAAAAAUAAAAUUAAAGAUACAAGUGAAAGAUCCUAUUUAUUCAGCUAUUCUGGAAUAUUGACUUGAAUCUUCAUGACUUCUCAAAUGGUGAGAUAGCCAUUAUUCUGAGUUGAACUUGAUCCACGAAAUGUUCCUCCUCGUUGGCUUUUGGCAUUAGAGGCGAACUUGACAAUUGAUUUAUUCUUCAGAUUUUCUUCUGGCUUGGACUUGAAAAUCCUCACCCUAUUCUUCAGGUGGGCUCCUGACUUGCAACUGAUAAUGUUCACCAUAUUCUUCAGGCGGGCUCUUGGACUUUUCUUUUUCUUUACCCUGUUCAUCAGGCGGGCUUCUGGACUUAAUUUCUUCACCCUGUUCUUCAGGCGGGCUCCUGAACUUUCUUUCUUCACUCUGUUCUUCUGGCGGGCUCCUGAACUUACAAUUUCUGAUUUUUCAAAUAUGUUCCUGAACUCAAAAUAAAAGGUGAAACAGAAAACCAACAUCCCAUUCUUCAGGAGGGUCCUGUCCCAUUCUUUAGAAGGGUCCUGAGCAAUAACUAAAUUCUCAUUCUUUAGGAAGGUCCUGUCCCAUUCUUCAGGAGGGUCCUGAGCAUAAAAUAAAAUUUCAUUCUUCAGGAGGGUCAUGUCCCAUUCUUCAGGAGGGUCCUGAGCACAAAAUAAAUUUUCAUUCUUCAGGAGGGUCCUAUCCCAUUCUUCAGGAGGGUCCUGAGCACAAAAUAAAUUCCCUUUCUUCAGGAGGGUCCUGUCUCAUUCUUCAGGAGGGUCUUGAGAAUAAAAUAAAUUUCCAUUGUUCAGGAGGGUCCUGUUCCAUUUUUCAGGAGGGUCCUGAGCACAAAAUAAAUUUCUAAUCUUCAGGAGGGUCCUGAGUAUAAAAUAAAUUCUCAUUCUUCAGGAGGGUCUUGAGCACAAAAUAAAUUCUCAUUCUUCAAGAGGGUCCUGAGCAUAAAAUAAAUUUCCAUUCUUCAGGAGGGUCCUGUCCCAUUCUUCAAGAGGGUCCUGAGCAUAAAAUAAAUUCCCAUUCUUCAGGAGGGUCCUGAGCAUAAAAUAAAUUCUCAUUCUUCGGGAGGGUCUUGUCCUAUUCUUCAGGAGGGCCUGAGCAAAAAAUAAAUUCUCAUUCUUCAGGAGGGUCCUGUCCUAUUCUUCAGGAGGGUCCUAAGCAAAAACUAAAUUCUCAUUCUACAUGAACAAAAUUUUUCCCCAGUUUGCACUAUUAAAUUUUGCGAGUGUCAUCAGAUCACAACUUUUGAAAAGUACAGUAAAAAGUGAGAAUCAAAGCCCUGCUAAAGAAAUGUGUCUCUUCAGAGUAAAAUUGAUGACCAAAAUUAGGAAAUGCAUCUCCUAACACAUGAAACUUAAAUUACCCAGAUAAGGAAAUACGUUUCCUAGGGGUUAAAUAAAAUGACUCAACUAGAAAGUGCAUCUUCUAGGAGUGAAAGUUCAAGUUAGGAAGUGUGUCACCUAACACAUAAAAAAUUGACAUAACCUGACUAGAAAAUUCGUCUCCUAGGGGUUAAAUGAAAUGAAUCGACUAGAAAAUGCGUCUUCUAGUAGAGAAUGUUCAAAUUAGGAAGUGUAUUACCUAACACAUGAAAAUUGACAUACCCUGACUAGGAAGUGCGUCUCCUAGGGAUUAAAUGAAAUGACUCGACUAGAAAGUGGGUCUUUUAGGAAUGAAUGUUCAAGUUAGGAAGUGCAUCACCUAACAAAUGAAUUUUGAAUUAUCCGGAUUAGGAAGUGCAUCUCCUAGGGGUUAAAAUGAUGAGUUUUUAUCAUAAUAGAUUACCAAAUCUGUGUAACAGUACUGCCUCUUGCAUUUACAAAAGUAAGAAAUUGCAGCUUUUAAUAGUUAAGCUUUGAAACCUUUGAUAUAAAGGUAACACAUGUUUUUGUUUCAUAUAAAGAAAACUUUUUAAUUUAAAAAUACGGUGGUUGAUUUGUGUCAUUUGGCUAUUAAGACGAUCUCUUGCACUUGUCAUGCCUAGCUCCAUUGCAAAUCAUUGAUCGGUAUUGUUGACUUGUUGUAGUAUUGACCUCAAAUUCUAGCUACCAAAACAUUUUGACUCAAAUCAUAUUUCUCUUGCAUGAUGCCUCGGGAUUCAACUUCAAAUACACCUUUUAUACUUUUAUGAGUCCAAAAACUGUCGGAUGACAAGCAUUCUCGAGUACUUUGCAUUAUUUUGAAACAUGUCAUCUUUGUGUGUUGGUCUUUUGUCUUGCUUUGCACAACUAAAGGAGUUGGUAGCAAGUUUUGAAGUCCUUCCUCAUUUAUCUUGACAAAAUCCUGACUCAAAAAUACAUGAAAGAUGACGAUAGUGAUUUUCUUUUGACCACAAAGACACAAAAAUCAAAAAUCAAAAAUCAAAAACUAAAAAUAAAAUAAAAUAAAAGAAAAUAAAAAUAACAAAAAGAAUAACAAAGGACAAUAGAUUAUGACAUGCAUUUUGAAUUAAACAACCUAAUUUAUCCAAACUAAUCACUAUCACUUUUUGCCCACUCAUUGAAUUUGUAAGAGAGUCAUUCUUUAACUUGUUCCCUCUGGAUUAUAAUCCUCCUUAGGCUAGUGACACCUCGAUGGGUUUUCGCCAACAAGCCACUCCCAUUUUCUUUUCUUUUUCAACUCAUUGUCGUCUUAUGGUGUUCAUGAAUACUUUUACCAAUAAGACUCUCAUUUUUAUUGAUUUCACAACUCACGGUCGCCUUAUGAUGCCCAAAAGGGUUUUCACCAAUAAGACUCUCUCAUUUUCAUUUUUUUUGUCAUUUUUAUUUAAGAAAAUAACACUCAAAAUAAGAAAUAUAAUGCACCCAUAACAUGUUUAGCCUUGACAUUCUCAAAUAUUGAUCUGAAGGUCUUUCUUUGGUUGUAACUUGGCUUUUGGAAUGGGAUAGAAAGAAAGGUCGGCAUGGGGCUCAAAAUUUACACAACAUUGGGUAAAAUAUACAACUUUUGGAAUCGACUCUUUUAAGAAAAUAAACUUUUGCCCCAGUUUUAUUUCAUUCUGGGUAACUUGAAUUUUCCUUUNNNNNNNNNNNNNNNNNNNNNNNNNNNNNNNNNNNNNNNNNNNNNNNNNNNNNNNNNNNNNNNNNNNNNNNNNNNNNNNNNNNNNNNNNNNNNNNNNNNNNNNNNNNNNNNNNNNNNNNNNNNNNNNNNNNNNNNNNNNNNNNNNNNNNNNNNNNNNNNNNNNNNNNNNNNNNNNNNNNNNNNNNNNNNNNNNNNNNNNNNNNNNNNNNNNNNNNNNNNNNNNNNNNNNNNNNNNNNNNNNNNNNNNNNNNNNNNNNNNNNNNNNNNNNNNNNNNNNNNNNNNNNNNNNNNNNNNNNNNNNNNNNNNNNNNNNNNNNNNNNNNNNNNNNNNNNNNNNNNNNNNNNNNNNNNNNNNNNNNNNNNNNNNNNNNNNNNNNNNNNNNNNNNNNNNNNNNNNNNNNNNNNNNNNNNNNNNNNNNNNNNNNNNNNNNNNNNNNNNNNNNNNNNNNNNNNNNNNNNNNNNNNNNNNNNNNNNNNNNNNNNNNNNNNNNNNNNNNNNNNNNNNNNNNNNNNNNNNNNNNUGAUUCACAAAGUGAUUGCCUCAAUACAUUCAAGUGAGGCUGUAACUAUGUCCCCAAAUACCGGAACACUUACUUAUUUUCUUAUAUAUUUUCAUCCCUGUCUUCUUGGUCAAAUGUUUGAGGAUUAGAUUAGAUUUAAAGACCAGUCUGUGAAUUCAACAUGCAUAUCACAUCUCUAGAAUCACCAUAGAAAGAGCUCUCUAAAGAAAAGAAAGACAACAAGACAAUAUAUAAUAAAUAAUAAAAAAUAAAAUAAAAAUAAAAGGACAUACAUUUGUUGACAGAAAGAUAGAAGAAUUUGAAUGAAAAUAAUAAUAAAACAAGACAAAAUAGAUCCCGAACUCCAACCCUAAAAUAAUUCGUGUAGUUGAAAGAAAAACAAAAUAGACUACCAAAACUCCUUCCUCAUGAGGGGCGGAGUGACUUUCAAAUUACCGAACAUAAUAUUUUAGUCACUGAUUUGCACGUCGGCCUUAGUGGAGUCUCCACAAUCAUUGUUACAUCAUUCAUAUUUUUUUUCGCCCCAACCAUUCUGAAUUUAUCACCGUCAAACUCUCAUCAACAGUUUCUUUUUCCCUCUACUCGAUUACAAUAAUUUUUCAGAUGAGCCAAAAGAUCACCAUGACCUUCGUACAUGUCCAACUUUGGUGUUUCGGACUCUAGAGGCAAGUGAACAUUGUGAAACAUAUCCAUAUCCUUGUAAGAAACUCUUUUUUUCUCUCUCAAUAUUUGCAUGUUUCUUAUAUUUUACUCCAAAUUUCUCAUUUUCCAAACCAUUUCUUCUUAUUCCUCACUUUUAACAGCCUACACCAACUCAUCUCAGGCCCUAUACCAUUUUUGUGGGUCAUUUUGCCUGUUCUUUGGACCUGGUCUUGUAUGGGUGAGAUGCCAAUUUAGCCACAAACCACCCACCUAAUAUUAUUUUGAUUUUGGAGAAAACUAAUGUGUCAGAGUUCAAAUUUUUUUUUUAAGACCACCGAAUCCAUGAAGGACUGCCUACGUAUCUCAUUAAGAUGAGAAUCAGGUGUGCGUAGUUCAUGAAAUAUAUGUCAUACAAAAUUCAGCCUCAAAAUCCCUAAAGGUUCAGGGCUAUUAAGAUUUAUAUAUUUUUAUUUAUUUUGUAAAUACUUAGCCUCAUGAUCCCUAAAGAUUCCGGGCUAUUGAAAUAUAUUUUUAUUUUGUUAUUAUUAUUUUUUAUUUUUAUUUUUUUUGUGUAAAACUUUAGCCUCAUGAUCCCUAAAGAUUCAGGGCUACUAAGAUAUAUAUAAAAAUUGGACUUGAAAAUUAGAAAAAUAAUUAUAAAAAUAAUCAUAUUUUCAAAAUAUUUUUCAAUAAAUAUAUGAAUAAUUUUUUUUAAAAGAUAGGAUCGUAUCCUGGGAAGGACUUCCUACGUAUCUCACUAAGAUGUGAGAAUCAGACCCUCGUAGUUCAUAAAGAUGGUAAAAACUAUGUUGUUGUAUAUUUAAUUUUUUUUAUUUUUUUUUAAAAUAAAUUUUUUCUUUUAAAUUAAAAAUAAAAUGAUUAACUAAAUUUGAGGAUAAAUUAAUCUUUCGCAUUUUAAAAUUACCUAAAGCCAGUCAACAAAUAAAUAUUCUUCCAAGCAAGUGUCAAAGAGCACGUAGGAUGCACAUGUUGGUCUUUAUAAAGCAGGUUACCUGUCCUAGACAGACCCAGCCCCUGUGUCGAGUCCCGCUAAGUCAAAUGCAUAUGAUGCAGAUAAAGCGGAACCUAAUAGGGAUAACUAGAUUCUGAGUUUUCAGUUCUUCUAAGUUUAAGCCUAAUAGGGAUAGGUGUCUAAACUGGCUUACCCGAGUGGACACUCGAGCCGGGGAGGGACAACUUGGUCGGUAGCAGGGCAACACCGCCUUCGUUAUCGAUCCGAACCCUGUCUAACAUGUGUGACUAUAUCCUUCACCAGGUGCCUUGACACUCCGGCUAUCUCAAAAGGUGGGAUGCAUAGGUUGCAUUCCCUCUAUCCUAUUAAAAAAAAAAUUCUUUAUAUUUUUUUUUCACGUUUUUCUCUAAGUUGUUUCUAACUUUGUAUGUGCAUGAAAACUUUUAGUGUGCAUGCACCUAUCUAUUUUAAUCCCUUUUUAAUUAUACUAUAAAAUUUUCAUAAUUCAUUAAAAAAUAAAAAAAUAAACAAUAACAAAAUAAUAUAUUGGCAUUUUAAAAAAAAUGUUAUAUUUUUUAUCAUCCAAGAACUUUAAUAUUUAUAAUUAACAAAAUGAAUCACGAAGAACAGUAAGCAAACAAGUCAUAACAUAACAAUUGACAAUCACUUACAAACCAACUAAGAUUAUAUUUUAUCUUUGAUUCAAUACAAUAAAUAAAUUACAAAUAAAAACAUAAAACAAUUAAAAAAAUAAAAAAAGAACUUUACAUGAAUAUUAAACUUUACAUCUUAAAUUACGGAAUUAUUAAAAUAACUUUAAUCAUUAUUUGAUUCAUAAUAAAACUUACAAAUUAAAUAGAAAGGAUCUCAAGUAGAACCUGUAAGAUAAGUUAACUUAAGAUGGAAAUGAAAAUGUCGUCACCGAAAAACUUAAACGGGGAUCCAAACUCAAAGAACUUCUCAUUUCUUUUUCCCUUUUUUGUUUUUCUCACUAUUUCUUGUUUUCACUCAUUGUUUCUUGUUUUCAGUCCUUUUUUUUUUUUCUAAGUGUUUUUCUUUUCCAUUUUUUUGUCCGUGAGUCUUGGUUUUCGUUUUGGUUUUGAUUUAUCUCAAGUUUUUUGUUUUUUCAUUUUUUCCGUGAGUUUUUUUCUCUUUUUCAUAUGUUGUGUGUGUUGUGUUAUAUAGAUAUGUAGGAGGGGGGAAUUGAGGGAGUUGGAGGGAAAGAUGGGGUGGUUGGAGGAGUUUAGGAUAGGAUUAGAUUUUUAAAUUUUUAAAUUUUUUCUUUUUCUUUUUUAAAACAAAAGAAGAUAAUGACAAAUAAAAAUAAUAAAUAAAUAAAAUAAUAAUAAUAUAAUAAUAAUAAUAAUUAAUUAAUUUUUAUAUUUAAGAAAAUACAAUAAAAGUUUAAAAAUAGUUAAAAAUAAAUAUAAUUAAGAUAGUACUAAAACUACUAACUUAUUUUUUUAAAAUUUUAAAAAAAAUAAAAUAUUAUGGGUACGAGAAAUGUAAUAUAUAUGUAUAUAUAUAUAUAUAUAUAUAUAUAUAUAUAUAUAUAUAAACUCGGGGAGGGUCAAAAUCACGUGUCUACAAUAUAGAAACCAUUUGGAAAUUAAUUUCUGAGCUCUAUGGUAUGAGAUAAACCUCUCUUUGGGUAAUAAGGAACUCCUUUCCCAUUCUAAUUUUUGUUCAUUAGGAAAGUGAAAAUUGAUAUUUCGGGUCCUAUAAUGUAGAGAAGCAUAGCACAAAUGAAGUCAAUCUAUCCCCAAGUUAACAUUGAGAUCCACCAUAUCCAAUUUUAUCAAAUCCAUCAAUAUUUCUCUAUGAAAGAUAGAUACUACACAACCCCUCUAGAUUUUUCUAGCGAUAAUAGACUUACCUACCAGAGUAACAUAGAAAAGGGGUUAGAAAUACUUUCAAGACUAAAACCAAAGUACACAACCACAUAAUAAGUCAUAUAAGAUAGGGUAGAACUCAAAUCAAGUAAGCAAUAUAUCACAGGAGAAGAGCUAAAACUUAAUAGUAAUGACAUCUGGCGGUGCCUCUUAUUCCUGUCGAGUAGCAAGAGCAUAGAGAUAAUUUCACCCAGUGUCGAUACUAAAAGUAGUAUCCUUUGGCGCAGAAGCUGAAGAAGUGGCAACAAAAAUCUUAUUAGAUCCAGUGUCAUCCUUGGUUGAAGAACAAUCUCACUGCAUAUGACAAAGAUAUCCAUAAUAAUAGCAUCGAUUCCUUCUCUCCUCACAAUAUCCAAGGUGAAGGUUCUCACAAAAAUGAUAAAAAGGAUAAGAUGGGUUGAUUGAGCUCUUUUAGGUUGAGACUGGUCACCCGGUUCCUUAGGAAUACUACUAGCCUAAAAACAAUGAUCACCGAAGGCUUAGGAUAAGAACACUAGAAGACGAAAAUGAAUUUCCCCAAUUCUUCUUCUUAGUCCACUACCUACCAUCUUUCCCACUGUUCUACUAAUUCAUACCCUGCUCUGAAUGCCUAAAAUUCUUAUUCUGCCUAUCCUUUAUCUUUGAUUGUUUCUCUUUCUCAUCCUCUACCUGCUGUAUAUAAACCACCAGCUUCAAAUUAUUGGGAUUUAUGUUGUUUCCCCAUAACUUUAGGCUCUUUUUUUUGUUUGUUUGGGCUUUGAUAUUAACAUUGUUGAUGAUUAUAAUCCAUAAUAUAUCAAGAAUGGGCAAUGUUACAUAAAAUUUGAUGGACCCUUUACUAGGUUGUAAUAGUAGGAAUUAUUGGGCUUAGAUACCACUUUGCUAACAUUAUAUCUUUCUAGACUGUUGUGGUAAUGCGUUAUUGUGAUGACGGUCUAACAAAAACAAUCUCUCUGCUACCCAAAGAUAGGGAUUAAGUAUAUGUAUAUUCUAUCACCGAUAGUGAAAUUGGUUGAUAUCCCUUUCAGUCUAUCACCUAAAAGAUGAUUACACGUAACUCACAAUAACAAAAGGAGUUAUAUACAUAUAAAACAGUCAAAAGUUACACUUACUCUAUCAGUGCAUAUAACUUAAAAUCGGAUUAAAUUAAACAAAAAAAGAAAGGCAAGCACACGUGAUUCAAUGGUCAAAAGAGUGGAACACAUGUGAACCACUUACAAAAUUGUUACUGGACCUAACACUAACAUACAAUGCUAUGCGUAUGUAUAGUAUGUGUACAGAUACAGACCAACAAAAAUACAAAAGAGCCUAUUUAUAUAUUAUAUAGUUUCAGUGCCCAUUUAUGCAUGAGCACAAAAGCCUGCCAAAUUUUUUGGACAUAUGUUUUUUUGGUCUGCCAAAGAAGGAAGAAAACGAAACCUAAAUCAUAACGAGAAUUUCCACAAAUCAAUUUAAUGAUGAUUUCUGCAUUAUGUGGUCCUAUGAUGCUAUAUUUGAAUUUGGCACCACUCAACUAUUCACUUAAAGCCACUGAAAAAGAAUAUAAUUUGCAACUUGUUUUUAGUGGGAAGAAUUUUUUAUUUUUUUUUAAGAAAGGAAUUUGUUUCAGCAUAUAUCAGUAUCUCUAUCUCAUCUUUCCGAUUAUGACACAAACGGCUUAUAUUUUAUCCUUUUUAGAUUCUACUUUAUGAGAAUACACUGUAUUAGCAAAAAAUUAAGUGGUUUUCUUUAUACGAAAUAAAAUAGAAGAAAGAAAUGUGACUUUGUUCAUCUAUUUCAUUAGUUAAGUAAUCGUUGAAGUAAUGAACUCCUGGAUUUGAUCUACUUAGAAUAAGAAAUCAAUUAUAUAUACAUAUGUAUGUAGUUCCAUUGCGGUCUCUGAACAGAAGCCUCAUCUCAUAUUGAUUUGAUUCCACAUGAGAUAACCUAAAUAUCAAAAAAAAAAAAAAAAAAAGUAGAAACCAUAUAAUGUAUGAUAUCGAAUUCAUGCAGAAUGUGAAUGUAAACCUGUGAAUGAUCAGAUAUUAGCAAUAGGAUGUGAGUAUAAUAUAGGGAUUCAUUUUAGUAGUAAUAAUUAUAUUUAAUUAAAUGUGUUAGUUUCUUUAAUUUGUCUGUCAAAAAUGGAAUCAACUUUCCUUGAGAAUGAUGCAAAGUAUACUAAUCUGAAAAAAAAAAAAAAAAAGGCCCUAGUUUACAACUUUACAUCAGAUUCGAUUUGUGUCAGUCUCAAAUUAGAAAAUUAAGUACUAGCACACUCAUUUACCUAAUUUGACCAUCUAUAAAAAGAGAAAAAUAACUGAAUAAUACAUCACCAAAUAUAUAAGAUUGUAAACAUUCGACUUGCAUGAUGCAAAAAUGGACACACAUAUUGUAAACUAUAUAUUCUAUAUUUACGCUCUUUCUUUAUUAUUCAUAAACGUGUCUGAUUAUAAGUAGCUGUUUGACCAUAAGUAGCUGUUUGACCAUGAAAAUUAUUCCUUUUUUUUUUCAAAAAAUUAUUUCAUUUUAAUGAAAAAAAGUGAAAACAAGAGGCAUUUUGCCAUGAAAAUCCAAAUACACAUUGUAUUUGGAAAAGUAAAAAUAUUCACGGUCAAGCACAACUCCAAUUCCAAUUCCAACUCAGAAAAAUUAUGAUUUUCAUGAUCAAACGGAGCUAAGUGUGAUAAAUAAUUAUUGGGUGCAUGUUUAUAUGUAAUUGAUGAAUCUAGUGAAGCGGUAAUAUAUGUGAAAUUUAAUGUGUCAUUUCAUUUGAUGUUCGUUAGUAUAGGGGGUGAUUGAUGAAUCUUACAUCUAAAGUAGUUAUGGAGCUAGAGCUUUAAUUCAUUAAUUACACUAGCGUUUCACUAAAUUCAAAUAGAAAGGCUUCUCAUUACUAUGAUUGAUGAAUUUUACAUUUGAAGUAGGGAUAGAGCUAGAACUUUACUUCAUCAAUUACAUUACCGCUUCCCUAGAUUCAAAUGAAAAAGCGCCUCAUUAUUGUGAUUAAUGAAUCUUAUCUAUGUGGAAUCUAAUGUGUCCUUCCAUUUGAAGUUCGAUAGUGUAGGGGUGACUGAUGAAUCUUACAUUUGAAACAGCGAUGGAGCUAGAACUUUACUUCAUCAACUACACUACCGCUUCACCAGAUUCAAAUGGAAAGAUGCCUCAUUACUGUGAUUGAUGAAUCUUACAUUUGAAAUAGCGAUGGAGCAAAAACUUUGCUUAAUCAAUUAUACUAUCACUUCACCAGAUUCAGAUGAAAAGGCGUUUCGUUACUGUGAUUGAUGAAUCUUGCAUUUGAAGUAGCGAUGAAGCUAGAACUUCACUUCAUCAAUUACACUACCGCUUCACUAGAUUCAGAUGGAAAGACACCUCAUUAUAGUGAUCAGUGAAUCUUACAUUUAAACUAGUAAUAGAGCUAAAAUUUUACUUCAUCAAUUACAGUACCGCUUCACUAGAUUCAAAUAAAAAGACACUUUGUUACAGUGAUUGAUGAAUAUUAUAUUUGAAACAGCGAUGCACAUUUCUAGUUGAAUUUCUAGUUUUGACUUAAAUUCACAAAAUCACAAUUUAGUUGUCAAGAAACUAUAAUUAUGGUAAUAAGAAAUGAUUUCUUUAUUAUUCUUAGAAAGUUAUUGACAAAAUUCCAACUAUAGAAUCAUGACUUUCUAACUUUGCUGUCAUUAUCAUUCUUGGUCACUGGUUAUAUUAACUAAUCACAAAUUUAAUAAUGACACGUGGCAACAAAAUUGUGAGAAACUAGACAAAGAAUCAACAAGAGAUAUGACAAGUGAUUGUCUUAGAUUAUCAUUAAAUAGAGAAAGUUACAGAAAAGAGGUAAUUAAUUAACCACCCUAUUAAAAGUACGAAAAGGCAAAUCGAAUCCUAUGAAAAACACUAUUAAUGUAUGGUUUAAUUAGGCAUAAAAUAAUAGAGUUAAAAUAUAUAAAUUGAACCACGAUAUAUUUACUUAAGGAUAAAAUUUAACCUCCAAUCAAUUAAAAUAUGUGUUUGAUUCUAUUAGGUAGAAAAUGUAUUAUAUUCAAACUAUUUUUCAAUAAAUUAUAUUAUCAUCAAAUAUUGAGUAGUACUUAAUGAUACAAGCUUAACAUAACAUAUGAGUAAAGUACUGUGGUAAAAUAGUCUAUAAUUAUUAAAUUUGUGAAUAUUCAUCAAAAAAGGGAUAGAAAAUGUCUAUUUCAAUUUAUUGAAGGUUAAAUAUCCAUAAAAUAGUUAAAUAUCGAAAGAGCUACAGUCAAAAUUUAUUAGUAAUCGAGAAAUAAAAAAUUAUCAACACAAAGAGUUUAAGUAAUAUGACGUAUCAGUAACAUAAAUACUUUUCUAUCAUCAGAUCAUCUCUAUCGAUUGUAACAAAUAAUGUAUCUUAUUUUCAAGAUUUCGAAGAGGUUCAAAAUUACAAAUAUUGAGAAGACUUGUCCGUAGAAAUUCAUUGAAAAAGUUGAUGCCUGAUAAGGUAAACAAACACUAUUGUUAGAAAAUUAGGAUCAGCGACUGAAAUAAUUUCGUAGCUAAACAAAAAAAAUCUAACGUUAAUCCUAUUUAUCUAUGAAUUAGCGACGAAUUAUAAGAAAAUUCAAUUAGCUAAGAGCAUUUUAACAAAAAUAGCCGUGAUUACCAACUAAUGUCAUAUUUUCUUGUAGUGAAAAUUAUAUGUUUAUGAUAUAUAAAACUUAAAAAUCCAAAAUAAAUUUGCAUUUAUUAUCACACACAAAAAAAAUUAGUUGGCUUUUUUUUUAAUAGUAUGGGGGUGUUGAGGUGGUGGAUUAAAGCUGUCUAUGUAUUAUGUGAAGUGGUCCCAAUGAGCAUAAUUUUGGUUCCAUAUUCUUCUUAUCUCCUAAUAUUGACAACUUUUAAUUCUUUUUCCCCUUUAGUAUAUGGUUUGCCCAUAAUAUUAACAUUAUUCUUUCGUAUCAACAAAGCAAAGGUUGAAAUUUUCAACCAUAGUGGAAAAUUAUUUUUUUCAAAAAAGAAAGUCAGCUUCACUAUUUGUAAUCAUUUCUCUUCUAUAAAAGAGUCAUCUAUAAGUUUUGAGGAGGCCAAAGAUUAACACUAGUAAUAAUUAAAUCAUAGUAAUAAUAGUAAAUUGUUUUUGGUAUACCUGCUUAAUUUGUUCUAAGCUUUCAGUAUAUAUUAGGCAAUAAAGAAAUAGCUAGGAGAGGAGGGGUGUUUAGGUAGAAUAUUUUGAGGCUUUAUAAAUUUGCAAUUGAAUUUAAUCGUUUGUACUAUCACACAAUAACGUUACCCUAUUAACUGAGGUCUAGAGAGGGUAGAAUAUAUGCAGAUUUUAUCAUAUCUUUGUGGGAUAGAAAGGUUGUUUCUGAUAUAAGAUCCACAGCUCGAAAGAUAAUAAAGAAUACGAAGCAUGAUAGAGAAAAAUAUAGCGUCAAGAUAGUAAGGUACAAAGCAAAUGAAGAGCAGUAACACACAUUUAAGAAAAGAAAACUACGUGAUUACGAUAUAAUACUACUAAUAAGGAUAAACGUAGAGGAGGCUAGCCGUCUGCCUCUCUCACAGAAAGUGCCACAACAUGUGUUUACCUACUGACCUUUUAGUCUAAUUCUCAAUCGUCAUACUUUUAAUUAUAUUAAUAACUAUUUAUACCAAAUAAAUUAGUAACCUAAAAAUAACAAGUCGUCUUACAAAACAUAUUAAAUCAUAUUGAUUUUACAUAAUGUAAUUUUCUUAUAGGUAUUACGCGUAGUUGCUCAAUUUUGUUCUUCAUUAAUUUAAUUUUUUGUUCUGUUCAUACUCUUAAUUUAGGAAAAUCAUAGUAUAUUUGUCAUUAUCUUGAACAAAGCUGCAAAGUGAAACAAGUAGGUUGAGUGUCCAAAUUAAAGAGAAAAUUAAAAAUGCAAUUUAAAAUUACACCUUAACUUUUGAUUACAAUUUUAAAUUAUUUUAACCGCAGAAGUAAUUGUAGACCAAUUUAAUUGUAUAUUUUUUCACAUUAAUGUAUACUAACUUGCUUGUUAUUUAGUACCAACAAGUAGUCUACAUGCAUGCAUAUGAAAGUAUAUUAAAAAUAAUUCCAGCUAAGAACUCCAAUGUUUUAAAAUUAAUGAAAUCAUGAAAACAUUCAAAUAUACGUAGCCAACAGGAUUAGGAUAUUUUGUUUGGUAUAACUUACGUCUAAACUAAUUUAUAAUCCUAUGUUAAUUAUUCGAUUUAUUAAUGAACUGUCUUAAUCGGUAACAGUGUUUUUUAUUCAUUAUUCUUUUGUAAUUUAGUAUACUAAUUUAGUUUAGUGAUUGAUUAUGUCUCAACGUACGUGGCCUUCAAUGACCCAAAUAAGUCUUUUCAAUCAAUGUAAUUUUAAUUAGACAGCUCGAUAGGAACUUACCAAUCAAACUUUACAUUAAAUUAAAUAAAUAUAUAGCAAACAAAAUAAUGCCGAACUAAUAUAGGAUUUAAAUUAUAUAUGUUGAUAAUGGAAAGUUUUUACAUUAUAAGUAUAGUUUAACAUGCAAUAGUAGGUUAGUUGCUAAUUUUAAAAGAUUACCAAGAAAUAACUUGUAAAAUUAAAUUGAUUGUAUAAAUACCUUUUACAGUUUCAAUGCAUAAAACUAAAACUCAUCGACCAUAAAUUUGUCUUAUAACAUGUCAAUAAUACCAAACAAAAAUAAAUAGUGAUAUGUACAAGUUAUAUUCAUUAAAAGAAUAUAUAUAUAUAUGAAAUUAAUAGGCUAUGUAUUCCGUUGCUGAUUCAUCGCUAAAUUACUUGUAGCUAUUAGAUUUUUUAUCAUCCAUCACCGGGGACGGACCUAUAUGUAUUUUUUUGGUGUAUCGGCACCCGUUAAAUCUGACGCAAAUUGGGUAUAAUUAUAUAAAAAAGGUAUAAAAUUGGUAUAAUCUUCAAAAAAGCACCCAGGAAACCACGAAGAUAGGUGAGUGCUUUGAUUUUCAGACGAAACCUUAAAGCUUUAGGCGUUAAUAUGUGUGUUCUCGAACCUCACGAGCACCCACGACCCUUAUUUAAUCCUAGGUCCGACACUGCUAAUCUGUUGCCAACUAGAAUUAGUGACAAAUUUUAUUGUUUAGCUAGAUAUAUUAUCCAUCAAUAGUUCCUGCUUUUUUAGUAGUCAUUGUGAUUAAGACACAAAGAGAUGGCUUAGUGGAGAGAUUAAUAUUCUUGUCAAGUUUGUUGGUGAGACAGAUUAUCCAUUUGACAAGAACUAUGUGGCUGGUCCAAUUGUAAACACAACUAGGGUUAGGUGAUUGAAAGUUAUUGUACAUUAUUACCAUCAAUGGAACUAAGGACUUUCAAGAAAAUAAAAAUACAUUUCAUUGUCAACUGAUUUAUAUGCCCAAAGCACUUUCAAAUUAGAGUAGUUAGCUUGUUCUUUUAGUUGAGUGGACUUAAUUAUUUGAAUUAACAUAUUGUCUAUCUCUAAUUAAUAUGGCAAUUAUUCAACUAUAUAUAACCUGUCUAUGGCAAUUCUUUAUGUCGUAAUGUUGAUUAGUGAACUAAAUAAGUUAAACUAGAUAGCUAGGACCACAAAUUGUAACCUAAUUAUAAAUGUGACGCUCUUGAUGGAAGGUAGGUUGAUGAGGGUGGAUCAAGUAAAAUUUGACGGACUUUCAGGUUGACAAACUUCUAAAGUUGAGGUGUACACGACAUUUUAAGUAAAUCUUAUCUUAAAAUAGUAUGACACACUUUUGAAAUAUGAUAUAACGUGGCACAAAAGAAAAAUUCGUGUGAAACUGUCCCAAAAACGAACAAUACGUGUCAUGAGCUUUAAUCACGACAAUAAAUCUCAAAAAUACUAUAGAAAUUAAUCGAGUACUAGCUAAUUGUUGUUGGAAAUAAACCUUUUAAGUAAUGCAAAUAAUAAAGAAAUUGUCCUUUUUUCCCUCUUUAUUCUUAUGAGUUCCUUUUCAAUUAUUCAUCCUUGUUAUGUGAAAGGUAAUGUAUCCCUCGUUAAUUAGUUGUGGAAAAGAACUUUCAUCCACAUUACAUUAAAUCGUAUAUUAUUGGGCUUGUAAGGAGCCAGUAAUUAAUAGUAGCGGUCUCAUACAUAUGAGGUCGAAAUGAGUCUUUCUGCAAAGCAAAGUGAGUCGAUUUGUUACCCUUAUCCAAACCUCGCGUGCGUGCAAGAUAUACAUGAGGCCUAAUUUAAAUCUGCUUUUUUUUUUUUAAUUUAGCAAAAAAAUGUCUAAUUUCUGUUCUAUAUCAAUAUUGCAUUACUUUUGUAAUACUAAUAAAAUGCUGAAAGAAAUGGCUAGGGGUGCAAAAUGAGGAAAGAAUGGAGUACAAAUUAAAUAGUACAGAAUUAUUGUGUAGCAAAAUAUAAUGCAAUAGGAUAAUUUCAAUGAAGCAGAUGGUACGUCUAGCACUAAAAUAGCUAAUUAUGUCUUUUUCCACGUGGGAAUUAAAGCAAGUCAUGUGUGAAUAAUGCUAAAGUUAUUACUAAUUCAUAAUUUUUUGAGCUAACUUUUACCCUAAUUUAGUUAUAUUUAUGCUUUAUAAGCAAAGUCCCUCAUCAAUUGAUGUUUUAAUUCAACAUAAACAUCCAAUUAUUUUGUGUCAAUUUGGAGGAUUGUUAGUAGGUUAGCGAUUAGCCAUCUGUACUUUCACUUUGUUGGUGAAGCUUUAAUUCCUUACCUUAUAAUUGUCUUCUCGUAUCCCAAUUUUUAUUUUAUUUUUAUUUCAAAAAAAAUCAUGUCAAGUUUACAAUUUUUUUGCUUUAUGUACAAACUUCCUGGAUCAUUCAAUUGUGAAUUUCUAUUUAGAAAGUUAUUUACUAUCUGAUUUUCUACAUGUUGAUUCAAAUUCUUUUGGUUUAUACAUGUGGCUUACAUUUAAUUAUUUAUAUUAUAUUCUUAACAAUAUUCAAUAUUCGUAUUCUACUAGUGCAAUCUGUCAAUAUAAGCAAAACAAAUUGAUCAAUUCUUAUGUUUUAUACGUGUUCACCUAAAACACUCUUCAUAAAAAAUUAUGUUGUUUAUAAGGUACAAUUUUUUAUUUUAUGUAUAUAUGUUAGCUUUUUAAUCUCCUGAACAUAAAACACGAAUUUUAAAUAUUAUAUAUUUAUUUUUCAAAUUCGCUUAUUAAAAAUCCUAGAUCAACCAUCAAUCAGAGGUGGAGUCAGGAUUUCAACGAAGGAGUUUCAUAUUCAAAGAAAACUUAGGAUUUCAAUUAAGUGGGUCCAUAUUCAAAGAAAACUUAGUCGAAGGGGGUUCAACACCUACAAUAACCAUAUUAAAAAUAAUUUUAAUUAUGUAUAAAUAGUAUAUUUUUACGUCGAAAUGGGUCGAUCGAACCCCCGAACAGAAGGCUGGCUCCGGCCCUGCCAUCAAUAUACAUAACCUAAUAGUAUAUAAUUCUAGACUUUUUCAUAUAUACAUAACCUAAGUCCUAAUAUAUAUUACACUAUAAUUCUACCCUUUCAUUUUCCCUUGUAAGAGGGAAUAUGGUUUUUUAUUUUUUUUUUUAGUUUUACUCUACCGACGGAUACCGACAAAGGUCUGUUUGGAUGAUUAAUUAAGAACUACCAAACAAAGCUUAUAAGGAACCUAGUCCUUUUCAUGGGACACGUGUUACUCCAAACUUUAAAUGCUUUUGCUAAGGCCACCCAAACAACAUAUGUGGAGCUUCGACCCCAAUUACAAUCCCAAAGAUACAAUAUACUACCUAUUUAAUUUUUUUGUUGUUGUUUUCAUUCGCUAUGUGUUUGAUGUUGUAUUAAGGUCUCAAUUAAUUUAAAUUUAUAUAAUAUAAAGUAUAUAAGAUAAAUGUAUGAAAUAGUUGUCUUAUUUUCUAUCAAUCAUUUCAGGAGCACUUGUUAUUUUUUUUUAUCAAUCGACUGACUCUAUCCAUCUACUUUAUGAAAUAUCAAAUAAAAGAAUGAAUUUAGUGGAUAAUAAAGAUAAGUCGAAGCGUGUCGAACCUUUUUCUUCAAAGGCCAAGUUAAUAGACGAACCAAGCUAGAUAGUCUUUUAUCACUAGAUUUACGAUAACAAUUUUUUUUAAAACUACAUAUUAUAUCACACUAUUAAAAUAAAAAUUUAAAAGGAAAAUAAUUUGGUUAAGUGAAAGGGUGUAAUUGGUGGUCUCCACACGUCAAUUCCGUGCAGUACUACUCAAUGAGAAUGGUGCACCCUAAUAUAUCCAAAACCCACUAGGCACUAGCCCAAACAGACAAAAAGAUCAUAAUCCCUUUUUUAAAAAAAUAAAUAAAAAAGAAUAUUGUAAAUAUAAGCUUACAAAUUUGAUGUUGAAAUCAUUGACGUUUCAAUACAAAUUACUUUCUUUCUUUAAUUUCAAUUUAUGUGACACUUAAAUAGAUCUAAUAUAAUUUAUUUUUAUAAGUUAAUCAAAUUGAUUUUCCAUAAGUGACAAUAACCAUAUUAAAAAUAAUUUUAAUUAUGUAUAAAUAGUAUAUUUUUACGUCGAAAUGGGUCGAUCGAACCCCCGAACAGAAGGCUGGCUCCGGCCCUGCCAUCAAUAUACAUAACCUAAUAGUAUAUAAUUCUAGACUUUUUCAUAUAUACAUAACCUAAGUCCUAAUAUAUAUUACACUAUAAUUCUACCCUUUCAUUUUCCCUUGUAAGAGGGAAUAUGGUUUUUUAUUUUUUUUUUUAGUUUUACUCUACCGACGGAUACCGACAAAGGUCUGUUUGGAUGAUUAAUUAAGAACUACCAAACAAAGCUUAUAAGGAACCUAGUCCUUUUCAUGGGACACGUGUUACUCCAAACUUUAAAUGCUUUUGCUAAGGCCACCCAAACAACAUAUGUGGAGCUUCGACCCCAAUUACAAUCCCAAAGAUACAAUAUACUACCUAUUUAAUUUUUUUGUUGUUGUUUUCAUUCGCUAUGUGUUUGAUGUUGUAUUAAGGUCUCAAUUAAUUUAAAUUUAUAUAAUAUAAAGUAUAUAAGAUAAAUGUAUGAAAUAGUUGUCUUAUUUUCUAUCAAUCAUUUCAGGAGCACUUGUUAUUUUUUUUUAUCAAUCGACUGACUCUAUCCAUCUACUUUAUGAAAUAUCAAAUAAAAGAAUGAAUUUAGUGGAUAAUAAAGAUAAGUCGAAGCGUGUCGAACCUUUUUCUUCAAAGGCCAAGUUAAUAGACGAACCAAGCUAGAUAGUCUUUUAUCACUAGAUUUACGAUAACAAUUUUUUUUAAAACUACAUAUUAUAUCACACUAUUAAAAUAAAAAUUUAAAAGGAAAAUAAUUUGGUUAAGUGAAAGGGUGUAAUUGGUGGUCUCCACACGUCAAUUCCGUGCAGUACUACUCAAUGAGAAUGGUGCACCCUAAUAUAUCCAAAACCCACUAGGCACUAGCCCAAACAGACAAAAAGAUCAUAAUCCCUUUUUUAAAAAAAUAAAUAAAAAAGAAUAUUGUAAAUAUAAGCUUACAAAUUUGAUGUUGAAAUCAUUGACGUUUCAAUACAAAUUACUUUCUUUCUUUAAUUUCAAUUUAUGUGACACUUAAAUAGAUCUAAUAUAAUUUAUUUUUAUAAGUUAAUCAAAUUGAUUUUCCAUAAGUGAGGAGGAGUAAAUUUAAAUGAAUAAGAAAUAUGGUAAGUAAUACUAGUAAAAACAAGCAAGGGUUGUUUGGUUGUUGGUUAUAAUUAUGUGCAGUUGUUUGGUUAUUUUAUUUUCUACAACGUAUAAAAUAUUAGUACAAAUUAACUCAUGAUUUAUACAUGUUCUAUUUAACUGGGAAUGUAUAUUAAUAACUAAAUAUUGUACUUAUUUGAUAUGCAAAGUUUUGUACAAUGUAACUAAAAAAAUUAUGAAAUACAAAUGUUGGGUAUAUGAAUAAAAAUUCUAUAUUAUUAAUUGAAAAAAAUGAGAAAUUAUGUAUAAAGUGUAAUAUCUCUUAAUGGUGACUAGUGUGAGACUAUUUGAAAAAAAAAAAAAGAAUUGUGUGAGUCAACUCGACAAAUAAUUUUACACCAUAUAAGAGUAUUUUUAGAUUGCCUGAACCCAACAACAGUUCUAGUCAAUAACCAAAUGAUCCCUAAAAAUUUUAUAAAACCUAACUUAUCAAAUUAAAAUUUCGUAUCCGUCUCCAAUAAGCUGGAAUAAAGUUAUAGUUUCGUCUUGGCAUAUCCACUAUUAAAUUUUCGAGGUUAGAGUGGGUUCAUUGGUUGUACAACAACCGGACCAUGUUGUCCCAAAUAGACAUGUUUAUGACGGUGCUGAUUCAUUUCAUUUAUUUUGUUGCACAAAUUUUUAGGAUAAUUUAUGUUGCUAAUCAAAUUUUAUAUUAUAUUGUUGGAGGAAUUUACUAGUAGAAGUAAUUAGUUUCUUUUUGUUUUAACAUAUGUUAAUUAAUUAAUGCAUUGAUGGAAAUUGGCUGGCAGUACUUAGAGUUACCAAUUUUUGUACACAUGUCCCAUGUCUUGGCUCUUUCGAAACAGUUGGGCUAAUGUUAUCAGGAUUAAAUUUGAGAUUGAUUUAUGUCGAUAAUUAAAUUUAGUAUAAAUUUUAUCCAUAAAUUUAAUUUUAAAGGUUAUUUUUUUCAUUUUUAGAAACUUAUUUUCGUAUAGAAUUUUUUUUUAAAAAAUAUCUUAACUUACCAACCAAGAAAAAUACUUUCCAUACGAAACACACCCUUUAUGUAAUUAUUCUCCUAUCUUUCAUCAUUUGUUACUAUUAAAGUUAUGUUUUUGACAUUAUUGCUAGCAUAAAUGAAUGAACAACAAAGGUCUAGUAGUGGAAUUUGAAUAAUACCUAUCCUUUUUAAUCAUUUGAAUUCGAACUAGCUAGUAAAAUUACACUUGAUCCAACAACAAAGUUUAGUCUUCUAUUUAUUUCACUAUCAAUAAUAUAAAAUUUUAAGUAACUACUUAGUAGUACAAUAUACUCGUAGAAUUGCAUAUACUAAAAACUAAAAAGCCUGCACCGAUCUAACCUAAAGUGAAUGGGCAGUUCGUGCAGUUUAUGAUUGUUUCCAGUAAGUGAAAGCUGACAAAAAACAACCCACUCACUCACCUCUUCCGUUUUUGUGUGUAUUUUGUGUUUGGUAUUUAUAUUGAGGUCCGACUAAAUCAAAAUUCACAUACUGAAUGACCCAUUUUAGGAGCGAUACAUCCAACACAGUUUUAUUUCCAAUUACAAAAACUCAAAUAUAUUAUUUUAUAUAUGACUUCGUGACAACUAACGCUCAAGAUUCAAGUUCAUGAUAACACAUAGUCAGUGGCUGAGGCAGGAAUUUUAUUAAGGGGGGUCAAAAACAGAAAGCGAAAAAAAUAAAUUAAAAACCUAUCGUGAAUGGGUCUCAAACCCAAGACCGGCAGGCCCUUUGCGUGAAAGUUUGCACCCCCUUUGCCACUGAAUCAAGUUUUUUGCUUGUGUCAGGGAGGUCAAAUUAAUAUAUAUACACAUAGAAAAAAAAUCAUAUAUAUAUAUAUAUAUACAAUAUAAUUUUUCGAUGAAAGGGGUUUGGAUCUGAAGUCUACGUAGCUCCGCCCCCUGCAUGUGAUCCAUUUUAGGUCUAGACUACUCAGCGUGAAUUUAUUCUUUGGAUUACAUCACAUCAAGCUUUCGUACAUGUAAACUUAAAUUCUGUCUUUUAAAUUAAAGCUCUUCACUUUUCUUUCUCAUUUUAAACGUCAAAUUUACCUAAAGCUCUUCACUAUUCUAUUUCUUUUUUGAAAUUAUUUUAGUGUUGAAAAUGUUACUAUAAAAGGUGAAUCACUGUACCUAGUACCUAGUAUCUAGUGGGGAAAUACACAGUAAAUAGAAGGUUAAAGUAAGAAAAAGAAUGAUAGAGGGGAGCGUCAUGAGGUAAUCUUUUUUUGUGUGUGAAAAGGAAUGAAUGAAGGUAAAAGUCAGAUCAAUUAUUAACACUGUACAAAUGAAUAGAAUGGACCCAAAAGAAAAAAUAAGUACAAGUGAAUAGAAUGGUCAUAUUUGUAAACAGAAUUUAAUGGAUCUUUGGCAGAAUAGGACUCUGUACCUAUGUGUCAUGCCAAAGAGAAUUAUUCACAAGAAUACAACAACAUAAGCAGUAAAAUUUCACAAAUAAGGUCUCAAAUAUACGUGAAUCUUACUAUUACCUUAAUAUCUGUCUACAUAUAUAAAUGUUUAUUUGGUUUGGAAUAUCACCGGUAAAUAUGUGGUGGAUUCGAUAAUAUUUCUUCAUCAUUAACUAAAAGCUUCAAAUUUGAACACUAACAUUGAGAAAAUUGUUGUUGAUAGGUAUUUUUCGUGAAAUAAGACUUGUUUGAAGGAAUGUAUAUUGGUUGGAUUACUAAAUUUCGAAUAUUAGAAAGUUAAAGAAAUUGACUUAUCUUUUUAAGAAUCUUUUAAAAUAUUGAAAUAUCUACUUGUAUAGGUUUCUAAGGUAGAUUUUGAUAUAUUUCAUAAUUCUACAAAAUAUAAUUGUUAUUUUAACAGUUUAGAAUGUUUCUAAAGGCUGUAAAUAUUACAUAGCCCAUCACUUCUUCCUUUAAAAAAAUAAAAUUAUACGAUAAAUGUGUUUGUGAAAAUAUUAAAAUUUUAUAAAUGUUUUAUUGGAAGGAAUGCUGAUUAAUUGAUAGAAUUGUUGGCUCCAAACUAAGGGUAGUGGCGGAGCCACCUUUGAUCCUUCGAUAAAAAAUUAUAUUAUUUUUAUAUGAGAAAAUAAUCUUUAUGUAUAUAGAGUAAAUAUUGAACGUCUUCGACUAAUUAUCUAAUUCAUAUGUUUACUUUUGAACCCCGUAAAUAAAAACUGAUGGAGGGGGUUGGGGGUUGGUGACUUGGAGUCUACCUUUCCUUAUCUUUGUUCUUAAUUUAGUAGUAAUGUCAACAUAAUCAAAUUUACCAACUAAUCAAUACUCCUUAAAUUUAGAAAUCGGAAAUGUGUGAAAACAAUGACAUUUAGGAUAAAGACAUUUAGGAGUAUUAAGGAGUAGUUAAUUUUCUCAAUAAAGAAAUUAUUUUAUUUUAUCUUUCAUUUCUUCUACUUAAUAAAGUAUGAAAAAUCUAAUUUUGUUGCUACUUCUUUUCUUAGAAAAUAAAUAAAAAUAUAGUUCCAAAUCUUAUGAACCUUGCUAGUUACAAAACUUCCAAGGAUCUUUUUCUUGUUCCUUUUUUUUUUUUGGUCAUUAAAACUUAUGAUUUAUAUAACCAAAUCUUCAAAAUUUAGCAAAAUCCAAAAGAUGAUCAUAAAAUCAUUAUUGGUGGGCUUAUAUGUAUCUAAUAUUUGUCACGCAUUUACAAUAAGGAGCUUCUCAUUUUAAUGAUUCCUCAUUGCUGCAAUUUUUUGUGGUGUGGUCCAAUUGUUAUAAUUAGGUCUAGAUCCCAAUCAUACACAUAAGAUCAUGAAAAAACAUGUGUAUAUAGAGGGAGAACCCAGAGGCAGAUUCAGAAUUUCAAACUUGUGAGUUUUCAAUUAAAUAAAUAAAAUUGAAAAAAAAAAAACCUCCACAGAGGUUCAAACUCACGAUCAGCAGUAGCAUGGCACGGAUCUCAGGUGUGAUCCUCCUACCACUGAGCUAUCUCAUUACUUUGUUAUGGGUUCUCAUCUGUUAAUAUUUAAUCUAUUGAGAAUUUUUCUAAUGUAAUUAUAAGUCUUAUGAUAGCGGGUGGAGGUUCACAGGAACCCCACUCGUUACCGUAGAUCCUCCCUUGAUAGAAGCAUUGUGAACAAAUAUACAAAAGAGUUGUAUUAUUAUACUGAAUUGAUCGUACACAAUUUUACCUUAUAUUUCAAUAAGUUAUGGUUUCUGCGAGUUGAACUCGUAACUUCAUGGUUAUGCCAACAAUCAGGGAUGGAGCCACCUUAUGUUUAAGGGUUCACCCGAACCUUCUUUGACAAAAAAUUUUAUUAUAUAUACAUGUUGAAAAAUUAUUUUUAUGUAUAUAUAGUUCGUUGAACCCCUUUGACUAGUUCGUAUGCUUACUUUUCUUUUUAUUUUCAACAUCCUUAAUAAAAAUUUUGACUCCACCACUAACAACAUUUGUUGUUUCACGAUACUUUCUUCAAAGCUUGUCAAUAUAUUAUUUUGACAUUAGUUUUAGGAAAAGGUUAAAAAUGCAAUGAGGUACAGUAAGUAUAUUGUGCGUUCUGCAAAAGUCAAUAAAAUAUCGUGCAUUUUUUUACACGACUCUAAAAAAAUAUUAACUGGAAAAAAUAUUUUCAAAAUUUAACCUUUAUUUAUAUCCUAACAUAUUUGGUACUUUCUUGAAACAAUAACUAUUUUUAGUAAUAAUGAUAGAUAAUUUGAGACAAACGAAUAUAGUACUACCUCUAUCCUCCUUUACUUUUUACUAUAGUAAAAAAAAAAAUUACUUUUAUCAUAUUAUUAAGUCAUCGAUUCAAGUUGUGAGAACAGUUUUUUACAGACAUGCAUAACAAGAUUGUGUACACUAAAUUCUUAUUGAUUUUUUCUUUCAAUUUUGCACAUAACAGAAAUUUUAGUAUACCCAAUAACUCUCUUUUAUUUUCAAUUCACCUAAUAGUUAGUGAGAUGAAACGACUUAUAAUAACGAAGGAUGCUCUAGUAAAAAUAUCAAGUUUUCAAAAUAUGUCAAGUUAAAUAUAAACAAAUAAAAAUAAACAGAGAAAACAUAAUAUUUAUGGACCAAAAUAAAUGCUUAAAAAGAAGCACCACAUGUAAAUCCUCACUUUUUCCCAUAGAAGGAUCAAAUUGCAUUCAUGUGUGAGUGACAAUCACUAGUGUACUGUAUUCAUUGCACAUGUUUCACUAUUUUGAUACCUUUAAUACUUAUUUUUAUCAACUUGUCGAAAAUGACCCUUUUAAUUACUUGAAAACGACACAUGUGUCCUCUUUAUUACACCCUACAUUUCGUCAAAAUCUAAUUUACACCCCCCAAAAUAGAAUUAAUUUACACCCUUUUUUAUUUAAUUUUAUGAAAACAUUAUAAUAUUUCUAUUUAAGAUUGAACGGUAUUGAUAUGAUUGAAUAUCAAUUAAGCAACCAACAUUUUAGAAUUUAUUUUUCAGUAUACAUGAUAAGGCUAAAAUAAGGUAUUACAAACAAAUUUAAUUUGUUGGUGCAUUACAUAUUGGGUAUUAAUUCUUGUGGUUUAGUUUUGUCUCUUAGUUAAUGUUUAAAUGGGAAUAACUAAUUAAGCAACCAAAAUUUUAGUACUGUAUUAAUUUGUGUUGACAAUUACGAAGAUAGGGCUAAAUAAGGUAUUGCAAACAAAUUUAAUUUGUUGGAGCAUUGCAUAUAGGGUAUUAGUUCUUGUGGUUUAAUUAAUUAUUUGAUUCUUAGUUAUGUUUAAAUGAAGAUUAUUAAAUAAGCAACUUCACCAAAUCUAGUUAUGAAAAUUUACAACAUGAUUAAUGAGGCAAGAUACUGUUUUACAACAAAGUGGAAGUGUAGAUUAAUUAAAUAAUGGGGAUUGUCAAAUCAUGUUUAGUUAGAUUGCUUCAUAAAAAAAUUAUUUGAUUACACUCUUUAAUUACGCGUGAUACUGUUUGCAAAUUAGACAUGAUUUUUUUAUUUUUUUUUUUUUAAAAAAAUGGUCUCAACCUAUUAUAACUUUUUAGUUGUAGAGCAAAUCUAUUAGAUAAAAAGAAUCAUAUUCUAAAAUACGAAAAAGGAUAUUAGAGACAGCAUGAUAAAUGGAAAAAAAGCUUAAAAUAGGACAGGCAAUUUAACUAGAAUCUUCCAAGAUUAAUAUACUGGGAGAAUUUAUUUCAGUAUAUUAAUUAAGCUAAGCUAGUUUUUAGGCUCUAGCACUAGGUUUAUGACACACAACAAAGUCAUAAAUAUGAUUAAAGAAUGAGAUAGUUGAAAAUAAAAAGAAUCCAAUAAAUGCGAUAUGAUCUUGAUAUAUACAGUUAAGGAUUUUUAUUAUUUAAAAAAAAGGCAACAUUGAAAUAAGUAUUCAAAUGGGAUAGAUAAAAGUUAUCCGAUGAAAUUAGUUUUCAUCACAUAUAUGAUAUAAUUUAUUACAUCAGUAAAAUGUAAAUUUUAAGAUAAAUAAUUUUGAUAUUAAUUAAUAUUCUUUAAUUAAGUAUAAGAGAAAAUAAUCCUGUUUUUUUUUUUUUAGAUUAUUAUCAUUUAUUCCUCAUAUCAUACUAAACAUAAAUUUUAAUAAACUUAGUUCACGUUUGACAUAAAUUUUGAAAUUAAAACUUGAAAGUUGAGUUAGUGGAGUUAUGGAUCAACCUAGAUAUUCUUUAAAAAUAUUUGACGAUUAGAUCUUAAAAAUCUUAUCAAAAAUUUAUAACCAACGAAAUAUUUAAAGAUAAAUUCAUAAAAUCCAAUCUAAAAAUUUAUGGUCAAACAUUAGUAAAAAAAUUAAUUUCUUUUAUUUUGAUUUUUCGUUUAUGAUCCGGUGUUCAUAUUAGAAAUUGAUUAAAUUUAAAUUCACACUGAAAAGUCCCAUAUUGAAGAGAUAAAGUGUUCUCUAUCAAAAAUUACUACAUACCCAGGAAGACUUAAACCUAAUACCACUAAUUAAGAAUAAAAAAAUAUUUAUGGAUGUUGCGGUGGAUGUGUGGACUUAAUAGGGGUGACAGGGUUAGGAAUGUGACUAUUCGAGAGAAGGUGGGAGUGGUGUUGGUGGAGGACAAGAUGUGGGAAGUGAGGUUGAAAUGGUUAGGCAUGUGAUGAGGAGGGACACUGAUGUCCCAAUUCGUAGGUGUGAGAGGUUGAUCUUAAAUGAUUUGUGACGGGAGUAGGGGUAUGCUGAAAAAAUAUUGGAGAGAGGUGAUUAGAUGUGACAUGCAACAGCUACAGCUUACUGAGGACACGACCUAGAUAACAAGAUAUGGAGGACGCAUAUUAGGAUAGAGGGUUAGUGCAUGCAUGUGGAUGAGUCAUAGUCAGUAGUUAGAAGUGAUUUGGGAUAGCUUAACUAGUAAUCGUAGGGCUUUGUACAUAAGUUGGAACUUCUAGUUAGGGGGGUGGAGGAGGUGGCUAAUUGAAUGGAGUUCCUGGCUUUAAAGAAUCAAGUUCAAGUACCAAGGAGAUUCACGACUCAGAAAAAGACUUGGCCCUUCCUAAUCCCAAUGAGAGAGCGGUCUCUGAAAGUUGAAAUGCGACGUUUAAAACCUCUCGUGUUAACAGACCCCCUCCAGGUGGUAAAUGGGCCAUAAAAAAGCUUUUAGUGGCGUGUGCCUUUAGUUUGUUGGUAUAUUAUAUUUCCUUGUGGGUGUCGUAUUGCUGUUAUUAUAAGUAUCUUAUUUCAUGUUCUAUGACGACUUUGUUUACUGUCAUUGUGUCCUAGGUCGGGGUUCUAUCGAAAAUAACCUCUCUACUUUUUCGGAGGUAGUGGUAUAAACUGCGUACAUUCUACCCUUAUCAGCUCCUACUACGUGAAAAUAUACUGAAUUUGUUGUUGCUGUUAUUACUCCACCACAAUCAUUAUUUACAGCUAAGAAUUUAAUUUUAGAGAUCCAAAAUGGGUCUUUUUGUUUUUGUUUUCAUUCGGUGUUCGAUGCCCACAUUAGAGCCCCGACUAAUCCGAAUCGCGCGUUGCAGGCCCAUUAAGAUAAUAGCACUCCCAAAUUUUUUUUUUUCCAUAUCCAAGAUCAAACCAUUGAUCUCUAAUUAAGAAUGAAGCAAUUCUAUCUACUGCACCACAACUUAUGUUAGAUGAGUCUAUUCUUAUUUCUCACUGAGAAUUUAGUGGAGUAUUUAGUGUAAAAAUAAUAAAAUAAAAAAAAUUAUGGGGAUUGUUGAGUAGUAGGACUAGGACAGUAGGUAUCUUUGAAAAAGAAAAGGGGGGUGGGGGGGGGGGUAUCAUUCUCUAUUUAUAUUCAUACACCCCACCCCACCCCUACCUUGCUUCUCCCACAAGCCUACCAUAAUAUUCUCAUUUUUCAUGUCAAAUCUAUUUUAUUUAAAAAAAAUUAAAUUAUACUAUUACUAAAAAGCUCUUAAAAAAAAAGAGUAAACUAUACACAGUAAAGAUAUUUAGGGAAAAGAAGAUCUUAAUAAUCUUCAAAUGUGUUAUGAUUUAGACAAAUAUCUUUAAUAAUUAGAUACAUAUUUAAAUUGAGAUUUUUCAAUCUGAAAAGCAAAUUAAGCCUUUAAGACAUUAGUUAUUUUUAAAUUUUUUAUUUGAUGGACUUUAAAUUCUACCCGUUUUAAAAAUAAAUAAGACUUUAGCAAUCGUCAAAUAUAAACACAUUAAUUUAUUUUUGUUACUAGAAUAUAGAACCUUAAAAUAUAGAUGAUUGAAAUUCUAUUCAUCUCAUCACAAAUUUGAAUAAUACUAAAGAAUUUACUUUUACCAAUAUACCUCAAGGGUAAACUUGUCUUUUCCAUAUCACAUCUCCUUUGUAGCAAUAUUUAACAUUUAAUUUUACUUCUAUCUAAGAUUAUAUACUUCUGACAUAAAAAUAACCAGAGAUAAUAAUUUUUUAAAUUUUAUUUUAAUAAAAAAACUGAAUAUUUUUUGGCUCUUUCCAACUUCUUGCCUUAUAAGUGACACCUAAUCUGCAAAAUUUUUAUUUUUAACCCCUCCGCCCUUUCCCCCUCCACUAUCACCACCUUUCUCCUCCGGUCGAUCUCACUUUCUCUCUCUAAAAAAAUCUCUCUCAAAAAAAAAAUUUGUUACUAAAAACUAAAUUUUAACUCAAAAUUAUCAACUUUAAACUGACUAGAUCUUAAUAUUCGGCUAAAAUAUCUGCUGGGUAAUUGUUAUUUUUCGUCAAAGAAGCUGCAUUGUUAGUGGUGAGUAAUUUAUUUUUUAAAAGAUUUUUUGAUGUAUUUUUUUUUUCAGUUACGUUUUUCUUUGAAAAUGGUGUAAUGGGGUUGUUUUAAUUUUUUUUCGGUGUUUGUAUUUAGCUUGGAUUUUUGUGUUUGCUUUAAUUUUGUACCCAUUUGAACUUUUUCCUCAUUUUUCUCCUCAUUUUUUGGUUGUAUGAAGUUGUCAUUUACCUCAUUUUGUUGUCGGUGGGUUUAUCUUAAUCCCCAUUUUGGGGUUACAUGUUUUGUAAAUUUAGUAAAUUCAGUAGAUCAGUUGUUCCAAGAUUUGAUUUUUAUGGUGUUCUUUUAGUAAGUGAUGAGGAAUUGUAGUAUUAUGUCCACUUUUUUCUGGGUAUGAGUUUUCUUGAUGAAUUAUGAAGUUGUUGCUAUUGUGGGUUUUUGUUAUUUUUGUGUAUUAGUUGAUUGAAGGGGUGUGAUUAUUUUAAUCUUGAGGUUUAAGGUAUAUUGGUUGAGGCUCUUUCGGAAACAAUCUCUCUGUUUAUGCGAGGUAGUGGUAAGGUCUGUGUACGCUUGUCCACUUGUGAGAUUUCACUGGGUAUGUUGUUGUUGGUUGUGAUAAAAAAAAGAAAGAAAGAUCAUAUUUUUUUUAGCAAUGCAUAUGAUUGAGGAGCUUGGUUUUGUAGUAUUUAUUCUUGAUUUGGUAUUCAUAUUGUUACAAUAUAACAAUGUGUAAUAUUCAUGUUUAGUUUUUAUUGUUUAUGGUGGUGUGUCAUUUUCUUUAACUACCACUUUUGCUCUAUUUUAUGUCAUCUGGGGUCAUUUUGUGCUUUAUAAUUGUCUUUGUUAUGCAAUCAUCGGUAUUUGAUCUGAAUAUAUGUUACUUAAUAUAUACAUAUCUUUUUCGAUAUUUCUUGUUGAGGUUAUGAUUUUUACCUAUUUGGAACUCCUCAGGUGCUAGAUUCUUGUAAUUACUGUGUUUUUUCCUUUAUGUUUAUUUGCUUUUGUGAAAUUUGAUUAACUUCUUAGCUCCCUUUACUCUGAUUUCACCACAUUAGAAGUCCAAAUUAGUGUCUUUUCUCUGUUUUCCGACAUUUGAGCUUAAUUUGUUGCUCAGUUCUAGCUGAAAUGUGGUGCAAGUAUUCUGAGUUGUGGCAUUUAACAAUCUUUGUAAGGAGGUAAUCGAGUUCCCUUUGCAAGUUAGUCUCAUAUUUUCCAGCUAUAGCAACAUUUCCCAUGAGUUCUGAGCUAGUGGUGGGGGGCAUAUUUGUGUAUAUUGCUUUUUUUUGGGUGAAUUAGGACAAUUACUGCAUAUAGUGUAUAUCUACGUUGCGUCUGUAGUUUCAUGCAUUGUCUACCACCACUUGAAGCUUAAUUUCUGAUGUGACUUCCAGUUGUAUCUCCUGUCAAGUGUUGUGAACUUGUAAUGCAUUUUUUGUGCUUUUCAAUUAAAAAAGUUAUCAUUUCCCUUAUUUUCAUGAUUCAUUGACUAAAUUAAGCAGAUAUUUUCCUUGUCCAGCAGUCUACAAUGGAUCGUAGGAGUGUGCCGUGGAAGAAGAAAUCAUCAGAUAAGACAGCAAGCGAGAAACCUGCAGCUCUUAUAGUGGAGUCAGCCUCUGCCCCUUCAGAUUCAACUGAACCUAAGGUUGAUCAGGUGUGUGUGUUGGUACCUAUAUAAUUAAAAAGUAUAUUUUCCUUCUCUUAUAGUGGAGUCAUCAUCUGCCCCUUUAGAUUCAACUAGGAAUUUCCGUUUUCUUCUCAUUCUUUGUGGUCGUCAUUGCUAUUAGAUUGUCUAACCAUAAUUCUCUAUAGUUUAUCCUAUAAACAAUCUGACAAUAUGUUUACAUCUAUAACAAGGACUUUCAUGUUGACCUUUAAUUAUGAGAACUUGAAUAAAAGAAAUGCUGCGUAAUUUGGUCAAUACUAGCAAAGAACUUCUCCAUUUAUCUAAACUGUGAGGCUUACGUCUAUAGGUUGAGAUUGAUGGGUGGUAGUCUUUAAUAUUUACCCUCACAAAUUAUAAGUUCUAAUUUAGUUCUGUUAAUUUUGUUUCUCUCUUCAAUAUAAUGUGAUUGGUGCUAGAAAGGAAAAGACAUAGUUUCAGUUUGGUAGUUCAUCGAUUUUUUUUUUUACAAUAAUACGUUGUGAGAGAGCUUCAUUCAAUUUGUCUCGUCUUGGUGAUUUAUGUUUUGGUUUCCGUUAUAUUUCAGGGUAAACAGGAAAUCAAGAAACCUAAAUAUGUGCAAAUUUCCGUUGAAUCUUAUUCACAUUUGACUGGACUGGAGGAUCAAGUUAAGUCUCUUGAGGAACAAGUGAGUGGCUUAGAGGAUGAAGUCAAGGAUUUGAAUGAAAAGUUGGCUGCUGCACAGUCAGAAAUGACUAAUAAGGAAAACCUGGUAAAACAAUACGCUGAAGUUGCUGAAGAAGCCGUCUCAGGUGAUGUUCCUUAUUGACUUGUGUUUUUCUUGCAACAAGUGUUUUGCAACUUGGUACUGAAUUCUUUUAUUCACAUCUCUCUGUACAGGUUGGGAGAAGGCUGAGUCAGAAGCCGCGAAACUGAAAAAUCACCUGGAAUCCGUUACUCUUUUGAAGCUUACUGCUGAAGACAGGGCAUCACAUCUGGAUGGUGCACUGAAAUUACAUCUGGAUGGUGCACUGAAGGAGUGCAUGCGGCAGAUACGAAAUUUGAAAGAAGAACAUGAACAGAAGCUGCAUGAUGUGAUUCAGAAUAAAACCAAGCAGUUUGACAAAAUGAAGCAUGAGUUUGAAGCAAAAUUAGCUAACCUGGACCAACAGUUACUCAGGUCUGCAGCGGAAAAUUCUGCACUCUCAAGGUCUUUGCAGGAGCGUUCUAGCAUGGUGAUACAGCUCAGUGAAGAAAAAGCCCAAGCUGAAGCAGAAAUUGAGAUGUUGAAGAGCAAUAUCGAGUCAUGUGAAAGGGAAAUAAAUUCUCUGAAAUAUGAACUCCAAAUUAACUCAAAGGAACUAGAAAUUCGUAUUGAGGAGAAAAAUAUGAGCGUACGGUCUGCAGAAGUUGCAAACAAGCAACACCUGGAGGGAGUGAAGAAAGUUGCAAAAUUGGAAGCAGAGUGUCGGAGAUUACGUGGUCUUGUGCGGAAGAAGUUGCCUGGGCCUACAGCCUUGGCCCAGAUGAAGCUUGAGGUUGAGAGUUUGGGUAGAGAUUAUGGGGACAGCCGUGUAAAGAAAUCCCAAGGAGGAAGGCCCAGUUUGCCAGAUUUUUCAUUGGAUAGUGUGCAGAAGUUCCAUAAAGAGAAUGAGCAACUUACAGAACGCCUUUUGGCAAUGGAGGAGGAAACAAAGAUGUUGAAAGAAGCUUUGGCACACCGGAACAGUGAAUUACAGACAUCCAGGAGUAUUUGUGCAAAGACGACAAGCAAGCGUCAAAAUUUGGAAGCACAGCUGCAAGCAAAUACUGAACAGAAGAGCCGACAAAAGUCCACCAUUCGAAGACAGCAUUCUGAGGGUUCCUUUACGCAUGAAACAAAUCACCUUCCAAGAUUGGCUUCCAUGUCCGAGGAUGGAAAUGACGAUAAUGUUAGUUGCUCUAGCUCUUGGACGACAACAUUAAUGUCUGAACUCUCCCAUGUCAAGAAGGAAAAGAACUUUGACAGUCCACAUAAAUCUGAAAGUGCAAGUCACCUGGAUCUCAUGGAUGACUUUUUGGAGAUGGAGAAAUUGGCUUAUCAGUCAAGUGACACAAAUGGAACAGUUUUGAUUCCUGAUAUUCCAAAUAAUGCAAGAACCGAAACUACCUCCAUGCAUGUCACCACAAGCCCAGAUUCUCAGCUGAAAGAACAUAAUGAGCCAAGUAUAUCAGGAAAUCAAGAAUCUCACAAAGAGGAAGUUUCAUCACAAAGUCAUCAACCUCUUUCAGAUAAAUCCAUAUCUAUGAGGCUCCAAUCAAGAAUUUCAAUGGUUUUGGAGUCUCUGUCCAAGGACGCUGACAUUCAAAGAAUUCAAGAGGAUCUCAGAGAGAUUGUGCAAGAAAUGCGCAAUGCUGUUGGACCGCAAUCAACUACGAGUAUUGUUGAGACCACUCUUUUUCCUCUAAGACUGCAACUGAAUCUCCGCCCUCUCUUGAUGAUGGUGAGGCAAUCUUAGAAAAGGAAAUUCCUGUCUCAGAAGAUAGUAAGUCAUGCAAUGAGUCCGUCCAUGGUAUCAGCAAAGAAUUAGCAGAUGCUAUGUCUCAAAUUCAUGACUUUGUACUCUUUCUGGGCAAAGAAGCUAAGGCUAUCCAAGGAACAGCUCCUGAUGGAAGUGGAAUCAAUGAAAAAUUAGAUGAUUUUUCUUCCACUUAUGUGGAGGUAAUAAGCAGCAGGUUGAAUAUGGUGAAUUUUGUCCUUGAUCUGUCUCGUGUACUGAGUAAUGCGAGCGAAUUACACUUCAAUAUCCUCGGUUACAAGAAUUCUGAAACAGAAAUAAGUACUUCUGAUUGCAUAGACAAGGUUGCUUUACCUGAAAAUAAAGGUCUUCAGCACUCAGGCGAGGUAUAUGCAAAUGGUUGUGCACAUUUUUCUGAUUCCACUUCUGAUCCAGACAUUCCCCAUGAAGGAAGUCUUGUUCCUACUUCAGAGUCAACAUCAACCUCUUUGAAGUGCUCGUUGGAGGAGGUCGAGCAGUUGAAGUUAGAGAAAGACAAUAUGGCUCUUGAUCUUGCUAGAUACUCUGAGAAUCUAGAAAGCACUAAAUGCCAAUUGGCUGAAACCGAGCAGCUUCUAGCAGAGGUUAAGUCACAAUUGGUAUCUGCUCAAAAGGCAAACAGUUUGGCCGAAACUCAGCUUAGAUGCAUGGCAGAGUCAUAUAACUCACUUGAAACUCGGACUGAGGAGUUGCAAACUGAAGUCAACCGUCUUCAGGCAAAGAUAGAAAGUCUUGAUAACGAGCUUCAAGAGGAAAAGAAGAGUCACCAGGAUGCUUUAGCUAUGUGCCGUGAUCUCGAAGAGCAACUACAAAGGUUAGUGCUUUUUGUUCCACAUUGGCCCUGGAAUUAUAAAAUAUGACCGUCAGAUCUUACAAUCAAAAACCAGCUUUGAAAGUUAUUACAUUGUGUUUCGUCCUAUCGAAUUGGCGUAGAAUAAAAAGUAGUAUGACCUUCAUAAUCCGACCCCUUCACACAUUCACACACGCACAUAUAAAAUUAAAAGAAUGGAGUAACACGGAAAAAGGAAAAGAGUCAUGUUUCGAUGUAAUUGCAAUAAUUUAUAGCUGAUCCUAUGAAAAGAAUGGUGAUUUUUUACCCUGAUUAAGAUUUUUCAUUUACUUGGGGUUUGUUGUCUAUAUAAAUCUUUCGAGUUCAGCCUCUCUACUCUCACGAGGUAGGGGUAAGGUCUGUGUAUACUCUACCCUCUAGUGUUUUAUUGAUAGUGUUGUAGAAAUAUUGCAAUUGAUCUGUCGAUUCAAGAUUAUGUCAAGGGUCACUUAAACUAAUUUAAUUUGCUGUUUGUAUCAGGAUGGAGAGUGCUGCUGACCUUGAUGCGAAGACUAACCAGGUAGCGUUCUUGCUCCCUAAUGAAUGAUCAUUCCAAUCCAUUUUAGUAUGUAUUUUAUGCAGUGAUUUACGGUACUAAAUUUAGUUGGAAAAGACGUGCUUCUCAAUUGUUGUUUUGAUCUAAUUUCACAUUAACUCAAUAAAUUACAAUAGAUUUCUGUGAUAGUGAUGCUAUGCAAAUUAACUUUGUAAUAGAGUUUACCUCGAAGUGUUUUAUAACUGCUACAAGCAGUUUUUCUUUUUCUUUGUUUUGCUCCAUCUCGCUAAGUUCUGCUUCUGUGAUAGAAGUUUCAAUCAUAUUAAAAGAUUUGCAAAUUAAAAAUUUAUAAUAAGAGUAAAUGUUACGAAACUAUGAUAUCUAGAUGACCUUUAAGUCUCACUAUGCAUACAGAACUUCAAAGAAUCAUGUAUAACCUUGCUUUGAAAUACUUGACUCCUUUUUCUGGAACUCCUCUCUAUUGUCUUAAUUAGUGAAUUAACUCACUUUUAGAUUGCAAAACAGCUUAUCAAUGAUAGAGUAGCCUACUAGAAAAAUUUUCAGGUCUUACCAAACUUUAAUGUUCAAUCUGUGUGUAAUUGAAAUAAGUUGGUAUAAAAGAUUUGGUGUUAGGAUCCUUUUAAUAGCCUAAUGUCGCCCGCUUCAAUCCAAAGUGUGUCUGAAGAACACAACUCUGUUAAUUUUCUCCAGGAAAAAGAGCUAACAGCUGCAGCAGAGAAGCUGGCUGAGUGUCAAGAAACCAUAUUUCUACUGGGGAAACAGCUGAACUCUUUGCGUCCUCAGACGGAGUUUAUGGGGUCCCCUUAUGCCGAUAGAAGUUCAAAAGGGGAAGGUUUUCGGGAAGAACCAACAAUCACUAGCAUGAACAUCCACGACAAUGAUCUAGCUGAGAUGGACACUGCCAGUUCCGUAAAAGCAACUUGUGAGUCCCCGGUGGAUAUGUAUAAUGUGUCAUAUACUCCCUCAGACGCUGAAGUAAACAAUCCAUUGAGAUCACCAAUCGGCUCAAAGUCUCCUAAACACCGGCCUACUAAGUCUGGCUCUUCGUCAUCUUCUGGUCCUACACCUGAAAAACAAUCUCGUGGUUUCAGCCGAUUCUUUUCUUCUAAGGGAAAAGGCGGAUACUAAGCGUGCAGCUUGCAGGCUUCGUGUGCAUUUGUUUAACGAGGUAAUAAAGAUUCAAAGGGCACGAAAACAGCUUGACUACUGUAGAUAAUGAGGGUACAAUCUUGUCAAAUUUGCUUCAUUGCAACUUUGGAAUUCCUGUAUGAAAAAUCAUUUCUCUGGUUCAUUAGCAGCUAUGUGUUCAUUUUAUCUUUAUAAUUUGUGUAGUGAAAUUCUCAAAAUGUUUGUACACAUUAGAUGUUGGCUCCUUGAAAUUAAACAAUGAAGAAGACUUUUUGUAUGUUUUCUUUUUCUUGUAUGAAAGGAUGUUUUUGUGAUUACUAUAAAAUAAUAGUUGUAUGACUCACUGCAUAUGAUUUCUAUACCUUGUGGAAACGGCUGCGUUUGUCCCCAUUGUUCUUUUCCACUAACUUCAUCCAGUGCUGGAAUCAGGAUUUUACAUGAAUUGGUUGAAGGGUUCAACAUCUACUAUAUUUACAUAAAAAUUUUUUUAAUCAUGUGUAAGUGUAAGCCAAUGGCUCGACAACCUAACCGCGAAUCCAAUGGCUCAGCAACCUAGCAACUUUUAUGGUUGCACUGCUAAAAGUUUGCACUGCUUUUGAAUGAGGCUUACGAAGUGAUUUCCUUUUAUUUUGAUUUUUUCAGCAACCUGUUUGAUUAUACACACUCAAUUUUUCACUCCAAAAUUAAAAUAAAAAAUCAAGUGAGAUGCAAGUAUGAACACAAUGUCAACUUUCAAAUAUCUUUUUUCGUCUUUAACUUAUACUAUUAUUUCAAAUAUUACUCAAUUCAUGCCUAAAUGCCUAUAAGACUCCAUUUAUAUGAACAAGUAGAUUUUUUAAUAAAGAAAUAGACUGCCUCUUAAUCCAUUUUGCUCUGUCAAGUUUGAUUGGGCUCGGGGAAGGUGGUAUUAGCCAUAUUGGGUUGAAAUUGGGCCUGGAAAAGCUGUAUGGGCUUAAUUGGGCCAUGGGAUAUGGACCGUGUGGUUCUGCAUUGGAUUUCAAGUAAACUAAAUGAUCGUUUGAACAUAAGAAUUGUGAAAUUUGAAAAACCGUACUAUGUAUUUAUUUUCAAGUUAAAAAUAGUAUUGGGGAAGUGAAAGUUAUAUCUGAAUAUGAAUAGAAAUUGAAGUUAUUUUUGAUUUUAUGUGAGCCAUUUGGACUAUAAAUUAUAAAAAAGAACUUUUCAGAGUUUUUAAAAUUUUAAAAAUUGUAAUACUUCUAUAUCAAAAUAGACUUUCGGAAUAAAACACCGAAAAUAAAAUGAAAAUAUUUUUCUUGCCAAACGGGCACUAAGACAUCAUUUUGGUCCAGUCAUAGAGUUGUAGUUUCGCAAAUUUUUGCAAAUGAGGUUUACCUUCUAUACGCUAAUAGUAUAAAAGAUAAAUGAUAAUUAAGGCAAUCAUACAUAAAUGUUUUGUUAAGAUUCAAAAGUAAAAUAAAAUAAAAUGACAAAAAAAAUAUUUAUGAAGAAGUACUAUACAGUUAGGGAUAUAUUUUUGCCAAAAAAAUAUUUUUUUUUAUAUUUUUCAAAGAGGAAAAAGCAGGUGAUUAAAUGAAAAUACUAUUUUUGAUAUUUAUAGGAAGUAUAUAAUGUGGGAGCUGGACCAUUUUCUCCCCCAUCCCCACCUCACCUAACUGAAAUUUUAGUGCUUUUGUUUAAGUCCUAUCCUAUGUUUACAUGUGGAUUUUAGUACUUCAGCUUGUUGGCUACCUAAAUUUUUUUUAUUGGCGAACAUUUGAUUCCCUACUUGUAAUCCCUUCGACAAUUUUCAUUCUCUUGCCCCAAUUAAUUUUUUUUUUUAAGAGAAAAUCCUUCUUUUACUAUAAUUUUUUGUACUUCUAUCCAUUUUAAAAUAAUUUUAGAUAUGCGGUGUCAGGAGUUCAGCCUACUGAAGUUCAAGUAUUAGUACAUUACUGUCAGAAGUUCAAUCAUUUUUUGCAUGAGAUUCACAUCCUGAUAAUGUCACAUCCCUUUUUUACGUACUCCAAAAAAUGUAUAUUUUAAAGUUCGAAAGGGCUUUACUAUUUAAGUGACAAGAAAUGAAAAUUUAUUUCGGAAAAGGAUUAUUUGCAUUUUUUAUUCAGAGUCGCCACUUGGCAUAAUCCGAUGUGCCAAGUCACUUUUGAAAAAUCCUUUUCGAAAACCAUUUAACUCUUAAACUGGUUUGCGAACAGAGAUUCCGGCUAAGGAAUUCUGUUGACCGAGGGGAAGGUGUUAGGCACCCCUCGAUCCCGUGGUUCAACCACGGUCGCUUGGCAGAGCGUAUCGGAUAAAUUGACGUUACAAAUGCAUAAACCACACAAAAGCACGCAAAAUAAUCAAACAAUAACAAAACAAAAAUAAAAAAAAUGUAAAGUCCAGUCCAAUUAUUACAACUCGAAAUAAAAAUACUGAAAUAACCUACACUAGUCCUAAACCAUGCUUUACCCGCUGCCUCGGGCCUUGAUCACGAGCAUCCUUAGCGUACAAAAUUCUUCGGGGCAUUCCCCGGGGAGUAAAUACAAAUUACCUCGGGGCAUUCCCCGGUUAAAUAAGUGCACUUUCCAAAUACGAUAAACAAAACAUUCAACAAAUAUUCCGAUCAUUCCCACAUUACACUUUAAGAGAUUAGUAAGCCCAUCCUACCAAUCCUAAACUUGCCUACCCGAGCUUACUGUUUGCCUACCCGCUCGACAACAUACCACAUUCAACAUCAACAAUGUAUCAAAAAUAUCAAAAUAUUUACUUUUAUCAAUUUUUUAUUCCCGUUUCCAAAUUUAUUUCAACCAAUAUGAUUAAACAUGCUUCGAUUUAUCAAUUCACUUUUCAAAGUCCGAAACCAACAUCAACCAACACAUCACACAUAUUCGAACAUACCAAACACGCAACAAAUAAAUCAACCACACCCACAACAUCACAAAAAAGUCAAAAUAAAUUAAAGAUUCGGUUAGAAGAAAUGGACCUCGAUGAAAUUGAUCCUUGACGAUAAUAAAGAAAUCCGAAGACCAAAAUACUCGACCGGAGAACCUCAAUCGCGAUGAAUCCAACUCAGUAUAGGGAAAAACUAAUAGGACAACUUCAAAACCAGUGAGACAAACUUUGUUAUAUGAAACCCAAACCAGAACGACGACGCGAUUUGGUAACGACAACUCGAAAUCCAAUAUCGACGACGAACCAGGAAACAGACGAAACCAAAACCCCCAACAAACAACAGGAACCCAAAACCCAACGCAGAUCGAGCUCCGGUGACGGAGAGAACGGCGGCGGUGCCUGUUCUCCGAUGGUGACUGGAGCUGAAGCUGUCUACGGCGAUGCUGUUUCGCCGGUGGCGGCACUGGCCCGCUUCUGUUGGUUGAGGACGAUGGGUCGCCGGCUGGUGGUCGGUUUAUCGGCGGUGGGAGAGGAAGCUCGGCAGCGGAAGUUGGGUCGGUGGAAGCUCGGCAGAAGCUCGGCGACGUAAGCUCAACGAAAGAUCGGCGGAAUAAUAUCGACAGAAUAUAGGCGGCGGAAAGUGGAAGCUCGACAGCGGAAGUUGGGUCGGCAGAAGCUCGGCGGCGGCGGCGAUGAGUUGGUGCUUUGUCGAUAGUUUCGAGAGGAGGAAGAUGGUGGUGACGGCGUUAUUGUCGUCGUAGUUGGUCGGACGGAGAGGCGGCGUGAAGUUGGUGAUGAUGAUGGAAAUGGAAAAUUUUUUUGAGAUCUGCUCUCUUUUCUUUUUGGGGUUGCUGAUCCUCCUCCUUUUUUUGUGAGAGUAUGUAUGUAUAUAUUGUGAGGGUGGGUAGUGGUGAGGUAGGGCAGGUGGGGUCACGUGGGUAGGGGGUAGAGGGUAGGGUGGUGAGGUGGUUUAUUUUGAUUGGGUAGGUUGUUAGGAUAAGAUAGAAUUAGUUAGGAUAAGUUUUGUUAGGGAUUUUUGUUAUUAUUAUUUUUUGUAUUUGGUGAGGGCAUAAUAACAUGGGUGAGGGUACACGGUAGGAUAAAAAUAAAAUGGGUAAAAACGACAUCGGGAAGGGAUGAAAUUAGGUGUCUACAUCAUGCCCCCUUUGGAUGUAAACACGAAGUAUUUUCAGACAAAGAAGUAGACAGCGAGACCAAAUUUUUGACCCAACCAUUAUUUAAAGAAAGAAACAGAAGGAAGAAGGACAACCGGGUUUUGACUUAAGACAUCCUUCCUACCCAAGUUAUGAAAGAAUCAAGUCACGGGUAUUUCAAAGGAUUGGAAGAGGUGGACUAUACCGAGUUGGAGAGUCGAGUGAGGUUCCGUCGGGGUUCCGGUCCGCGGCUCUUGUCAUUACAUCAAAAAUGAAAAUUAUAAGUUAAAACAUAAAGAAAAUUACAAAAUCCUAUCUAUACAGCUUCUAUUGGCUCUUGACUCGACUUUUAUCACCCUAUUCUUCAGGCGGGCUCCUGACUUGCAAUUUCUUCCAACUUGUUACUUGACUUUCCAUUGCUUCGCUUUGUUGUUUGACUUUUCAUUUCUUCACCUUAUUCUCUAGGCGGGCUCCUGACUUGCCAUUUCAUCACUUUGUUGCUUGACUUUUCCGUUUCUUCACCCUAUUCUCCAGGCAGACUCCUGACUUGCCAUUUCAUCACUUUGUUGCUUGACUUUUUAUUUUCUUCACUCUGUUUCUCCCGGCGGGCCCGGACUUGCUAUUUCAUCACCCUGUUCUUUAGGCGGGCUCCUGACUUGCUAUUUCAUCACCCUAUUCUUCAGGCGGGCUCCUGAAACCCAAAAUUAAAACUAGAACGAAAAUUAUCCCAAACAAAAUUAUAGUAAAAUAGUAUUUCAUUUUCGAAAGGGUUGUCCCAUUUUCCAGGAGGGUCCUGAACAUAAAGUAAAAUUCCAUUUUUCAAGAGGGUCCUGAACAUAAAGUAAAAUCCCAUUUUUCAGGAGGGUCCUGAACAUAAAGUAAAAUCCCAUUUUUGUAAAAUCCCAUUUUUCAGGAGGGUCCUGAACAGAAAGUAAAUUCCCAUUUUUUAGAAGGGUCCUGAACAUAAAGUAAAAUCUCAUUUUUCAGGAGGGUCCUGAACAGAAAGUAAAUUCUCAUUUUUUAGGAGGGUCCUGAACACAAAGUAAAAUCCCAAUUUUCAGGAGGGUCCUGAACUGAAAGUAAAUUCUCAUUUUUCAGGAGGGUCUUGAACUGAAAAUAAAUUCCCAUUUUUCAGGAGGGUCCUGAACUGAAAGUAAAUUCCCAUUUUUCAGGAGGAUCCUGAACAUAAAGUAAAAUCCCAUUUUUUAGGAGGGUCCUGAACUGAAAAUAAAUUCCUAUUUUUCAGGAGGGUCCUGAACAUAAAGUAAAAUCCCAUUUUUCAGGAGGGUCCUGAACAGAAAGUAAAAUCCCAUUUUUCAGGAGGGUUCUGAACAUAAAGUAAAAUCUCAUUUUUCAGGAGGAUCCUGAGCAUAAAGUAAAAUUCCAUUUUUCAGGAGGGUCCUGAAUAUAAAGUAAAAUCCCAUUUUUCAGGAGGGUCCUGAACAGAAAGUAAAAUCCCAUUUUUCAGGAGGGUUCUGAACAUAAAGUAAAAUCUCAUUUUUCGUCCUGAGCAUAAAGUAAAAUCCCAUUAUUCAGGAGGGUUCUGAACAUAAAGUAAAAUCCCAUUUUUCAAGAGGGUACUGAAUAGAAGGUAAAAUCCCAUUUUCCAGGAGGGUCCUGAACAGAAGGUAAAAUACGUUGGAUGUGCAUUUCCAAUGAUAGCUGAAUUAAGUGAAGCGAAUUUUCCCCUAUAUCAACAAAGAAAAUUUGUCAAUUAAAAACUUAGUGGUGGCUUGUAGAUCUUGGCUUCUCAGGUAUCUGCCCUGCACUCGUUCCUUUCAUCUUUGUUCCAAAUCGCUAACACUUGCCCUGUCUUGCCGCAUCAUUGAUCCGAAUCAAUGGUAACUGGUGCAACAGAUAUAAAAGAUGACCUGAAAUCUAAGGAACUCUAGUGUUUUUUAAAAAUAUCCCUCAUCUAGAGAACCUUACAACAAAGAAGCAACAUUUCCACAUAAAGGUCCCAAAAGUGGCUAUUAUGGAAGCAUUUUUCAUAUUCUAUUACUUAUAUGUAAAUGUUGCCUAGUGGAAUACCCGCAUAAGCACAUUACAGCAUGCUAGUGAUUUUGUCUAUUCUGGUUGAAGUAGGAAACACGAAGGAAUAUCAGGUUUACCGCAAGGUUUAAUGCAUCUCAAUAGUUGCGGCAAAGAUUUAAAAGAAAAUCAAGCGGAAGCCACAUGAGAAAAAUGUGGUAUAUGGAUUUGUCAUUCGAACACCUAAUCAUUCGGCCUUGAGGAUGAAUUCCAAAUUACAGAAACAAAGUCAAGUUAUUACUUGCAUAAUAUUAGAAUGAAGCUAAUGACUGGUGAAAGCAAAACAGAGAAUAAUCAACCUCAAAACUUCUCCAUGCCAAAAUGUUAGGUUCAAUGGUUGUCGGAGUAGCCGAUAUAAAAUGAUUAUCUAUUUAGUAAUUAGGGUGAGAAGCGAUGAGACAUGGAGGUGACGUGGCAGUGUCGUGGACAGAGAUAUAUGACACAUGGGCGCAGGAGAUCUAAUCAGAAGGCGUAACUAUCCAGUUGAAUUCAUUUAACUGAAUUGUGUGGCUGAGAUGAGUCCUAUUCAUUAUUUGUAUACGGGAGUUGCAACUGAUUUAGGCAUUGUGAAAUCUGGUAUAUUCCUAAGUCCUAACUCCUUUCUACUAGUUUUCUCUCCAGUCCUGCUUUCUCUAACUAUCCAUAUUUAGUCAAUAUACAUUACAACCGUUGAUUGGAAUUGUACUAAUUACUUUUGAGCUAAUAAAAAAUCUCAAAUUCUUCCCAAUUACUAUUUUCUGCAAUUCAAUACCCACAACUAACUUUCAUAAUGUACUAUAACAUCUACACACAUUGCUUUCGGCUCGAUCCAUAAGUAUGUCAAUCAGUCAAACCACACCUCAAUCACGAACUAUAGUUUGCAUUCUCUAUACGAAUAGUCUACAUCGAGAAAUAUAAAGCAAAAAACAAACUUAGCCAACACUGAAUAUAGACAAUUAGUCUUAAAAAUCCUUAUUCAGCUACGUUUCGACAACAUACAGCAUAACUAUAUUCAGAAUAACCACAAAAUUACAGUAAAAAAACAAAUGAAAUGCAGAGAUUGAAUAAUGUUAUCGAUAUAGUUAGUGGAAAUGAAUAUUGACCUUCAAUAGCUUCGCGAGGAGUUUUGAAUCCUAACCCGAUACUCUUAAAGUAUCGAUUUCCUCCCUUUCCUGGUCGCUUUCCCUUCCCUGUCUUCUUAGAGCUGUCCAAAUCAUAUAUAAACAACAAACACGCAAAUCUUAGCCCCAAAAUUGCUCCAACUUAGGGAUUUUAACAGCAAAAGCAUAUAGCAUUGGUCAGUAUAACUUGCCUUAGAAAAACACCAGGUUGCUUCAAAAACGCCUUCUCUAUCUGCAAUUCCAAAACAAAUUCAUUAGAUUUUAUAUGUCGGAAAUCACAACGUUAAGGGCAAUAGAAAGAGAAGAACCUGCUCCGCCAUGGUUGAGGGUUAGGAAGGAAGGAAGGAGCACUGAGUGAGAAGAUAUGGCUGGUAUCAGUAAACCCUAAUUGGCAGCAGAGAGUGAGGGAUGUGUGGGCUUAAAGAAACUUAUGUAAUCUAACUAGCAAGGUUGGGUUAGAGAUACUGUGGAUUGGACUUGUAAAAUGGGCUAAUUUUAAAGAUUGGGCCCAAAGUCCAACCAAAAUAUAUAUAUUUAUAAAAGAAAUUUUUUGAAGUAACUGGUAAAGUUGUUUUCAUGUGGGCAGAAGGUCACGAAUUUUCCAUGUGAUCGUGCUCUUUCCGGACCCUGCGCAUAGUGGAAGCUUUAUGCACUAGGCUGCCCUCUUUUAAAAUUUUACUGGUAAAUUAUGGCUAGUUUCGCCCAAAUUAUCUGGUCUUGAAUUUUGUCCAUCAAAGUAUUUUGAGUUGAAUAUCAUCCCAGCUUAAUAAGUUUAAUAUUUUUUUUAUAAGGUAAAACGUGUGAUCAUUUGAACAUGUUCACUAAUCACUGUACUGAAAACAGCCAAAACAUGCACCCUAUGUGCUUAGUUAGAACUUAGCAGGUGCACUUUCUUAAAAUUCCCUAAACACUUUAUGGGCAAAAGUUAUAACUUAUUUCUGAUGGACAAUAUACCUAAAUUCAAACCUUUGCCUAUAAUGAAUUGCACGAGUUCAUUGUCUUAAAAUAUCUUGAACUUCUACCUUAUUUGUAAAAUUUGUUAGGCUGGGCUAAAAAAUCAAGAUCACCCCUUUUAGAUACGACGUUUAUAAGACUUUUUUUUAUACCGACAAAAUAUUAAGAUCAACUCAUUUUAAGACUAUUUCUGAAUUUGAGACUUUGUUAUUUAAUCGGUACAUAUUCUGUCUAAAAAUUUAGUGCGGCUACCUAUUUUAUAACGACUUACAAAUUUAAAUUUGGCAAGAAAUGGUAUGAACCUUGGUCAUAAAUGACAUUACUUCAAUCAUAUUCGGACAUCACAUAGAUUAAUUGAAUAGAUUCUAGAUUUGUUAAAUUUUGUGCACUGUGAACAUAGGUUAAACAAUAAACUCAAUAUUAUCUUUGCACUCCAAAAACUAAAAUAUCAAAUGAUUAUGUUCCCGCUCUCGAAUUUCAACGAUAAUCAAACCUUUCUUUAGCAGUCAUUGACUGAAGACAUAAAUCUCCAUUUUCGCUAACAAAGCUCAGAACAAAGAGCUAAUGGCACCACAAAAUAGCAAUUCAGCUGACAGUAUAAUAGAGAAAUGCUGCUAAUUCGAUAUCCAAAAAUCUUAUAAUAAGCUAAUACAUACUCAAAAUUUGAAGUUCAAAGGAAAAUAAAUGGAGACAAAAACUUAGUAAAAGCAGAAAAGUCUUGGCAUCAUUCCUAGAAGUAACAAUUAUAAUGGAGGCACGAAGCUCACAUUCCGGUAAAAGCUUUCUUCCCACCACCAGCAGAGCCAGCUGGAAUCACCUUCAAGACAUUGAACCUCAUGGUUUUCGACAAAGGCCUGUAAAAAUAAAAUAUGUUAUCACGUACUUCAACAGCAAAGUAUGAAAAGUUACUUUAGCAAAAUCAAGAUAUGAUGGUCCUAACCCGCAUUGUCCAAUAAUAACAUGAUCCCCCUCUUUCACACAGAAGCAUGGCGAUAUGUGUGCUGGAAUAUUGGAGUGCCUCUUCUCAUAUCUAAAACAAUAACCUUAAGGAUUACUCACAAGUUACACCUAACAAAAGAAGAAGUGAAUCAGCCAAUAUAUUUAGAGUGACAAGAUCUUGCCUUUGGUACUUCUUGACAUAAUGUAGGUAGUUGCGACGAACAAUUAUGGUUCUGUUCAUCUUGGCGCUGUGGCAUGUACCAGCAAGGAUACGACCUCGGAUAGAAACAUUGCCAGUAAAUGGGCAUUUCUUGUCUAUGCAUGUACCUAAAUUCAAACAGACCAUAGAACAAAGUAAAAUUAAGCAAGCAUAGCCAUUUUACAACAACAACAAGAAAAGGUUUGGAGUAUCAUUUUCUAUAUGUGAAAGCCAACAGUAAGUUCACGCAGCUUAUUAUUAACAGGGUUUAUCCAAAAGCACAUAAAUCUAAAAAGUUUUUUUGGAAACUUUAACUAUUUCAGCCAAAUAUAAGUGAAAGAAUACCAACAGAAUAUAAGCAAUAAUGAACCCCAUUGAGAUUCACAAGGAGAAAUCGAGUUACAUGUACAAUUCUUUUUUUACUGGCAGAGGAAUCAUUACAUGUAGAAAUUUAUCUAUGUUGUUUUGGAAAUUAUCAACUAUCUUGGCAAAUGAAAAAUAAAAGAAGCAGAAUGGAUUAAAAGCAAUAACAGAAUUCCAUUGAACAACAUUCCUAAUAGGUUAAACAAAAUAUAACUUGAUUUGAAAAUCGAGAUAUUCACCAAACGCUAGCUACAUUGCAAAAUAUAAUACAGAUAAGGUUUUUGCCUUUUGCAGCAGCAGGUUGGCUCAUUGCUUUAGGAUCGAUCCAUAUGUAUGUCGAUCACUCAACCUAUCCUUAAUUCCAAACCGGUGAGCAUUCACUACAUAAAUCCUCUACAUCAAAGUCAAAAUAGACUAGUCUUAUAAAAUUUCUAAGAACUAUAUUCACUAAACUGAUUAGGAAAGCUAAUAUCUAAUAUAAAUCAGCAAAAUCAACAAUGUUAUCGAUGUAAUUAAUUAGAGGAAAUGAAUAUUAACCUUCAAUAGCUUCACGAGAGUCUUGAAUCCUAAACCAAUACUCUUUCUUAGAGCUGUCCAAAUCAUAUAUAAACAACAAACACGCAAAUCUCAGCGUCAAAUUUCUCCAACAUACAGACUUGAAUAGAAGAAAUCAUACAGCAUCAAUGAACACACUCAUCUUAGGAGAACACCUGGCUGCUUCAAAAACGCCUUCUCCGUCUGUAACACAAAGCAACUCCAUUAGAUUUUCUCUAUACACACACAAAAAAAAACAUUAUAUAUAUAGGUAGUUGUUAGGAAGAACCUGUUCCGCCAUGGUUGAGGGUUACGAAGGAAGCUGCACUGAAUGAGAAGAUAUGUUCGGUAUCAGUAAACCCUAAUUUGCAGCUGAGAAAAAGUGUUGUGUGGGCUUAGAGAAGCUUAUGUACUCUAAGGAGAAUUGGGUUAGAUAUUUGGAUUAUAGAUUGGGCUUGAACAGUGGGCUAGCUUACAUAUGGGCUCAAAAUCCAACUAACUAAAUCGUAAGCAUAAACAACAUAAAUCCCCUGGCUAGUGAAACUAAUUACAUAAAAUUCCUUCAAGUUUUCUCUCUCCCAAUUUUCGCAAAUAUACUCAUACAUUCUGCCGUCUCAUAUAUUUUGUCAGGGGCGGAUCUAUUAAGGCCCGUGGGGGUGGCACGCCACCCACAAACUUCGACGGAAACUCUCUCUAUAUAUAUGGAUAUAGUUAAAUAUUUAAUAUGGCACCCAUAAUAACAGAGGGCUGUCUAGUGCAGGUGGAAAAGUGUUGCUUUUGUAGCCCCAAGGUCCUGUGUUUGAACCUGGCUAGCAACAUUUGUUUUUUAAAAUCAUUUUCAUUAAUAAUUCUUUCAUUAAAACAAGGCAACCAACGCGCGUAUCAGGGGACAAACCCAGUUGACUUUUGUAUAAGUAAUCUUACUUUUUGAUUUUUUUUUAUUUAAUUGUUUAAAAGGUAUAAUCAAAUAUCUUUCAUUAAAAUUAAAAUAAAAACCCUAUUUCCAAAGGACCAAAUCAAAAAUCGCUCUCUUGUUCUUGAGGUUUGCUGCAGCUGCUGCUUGCUCUCUCUCUCUGUUUGUUGCUUGCUCUCUUUGUAAGUUAUUUUGAAAAUUAUUUUGUUUCUCUUUAUUGAGCCUAGAAAUUUAAAUUUGAAAUUAUCUUGAUUUAGGAGAAAUUGUUCUAAUUUUGAGAAUUAAGAUGGAGAAUUUUUUCAUGAAGUUUAAUGAUUCUUAAUAUAGUUCUAGUAAUGUCAAUAUCAAUCGUUUUUGUCUUAUAACUGACCUCGAUUUGGGUUCAGUUAAAGCCGAUCCGGGAGAAAAAAGAUCUAUUUCUGAUUAUGAUCCUCGAAUACGAGAUGAAGUGAGGAAAUAUUAUAUUGAAAAAGGACAUUGUCAAUCUAUCUUGAAACCAUAUCCUUCAAGUGAAAUAGGAGGUAGAAUGCGUCAAUUUGCUUCAAGUUGGUUUAAAGGUUCACAUUCGACUUGGUUGGAGUAUAGUGUGGAGAAAAAUGUCGCAUAUUGUCUUUGUUGUUAUUUUCUUAAAAAUGAAUUUGUUCAUGAGAUUACAGGUGAUUUUUAUGCUUCAAAGGGUUUUAGGGGCUGGAAUAAGGUUCUUGAAAGAUUUCGUUUACAUGUCGGUAAAGUUAAUAGUGUUCACCACAAAUAUUACAAUAAGAUGCUAGAUUUGUCAAAUCAUCGUCAAUCAAUUCAAGUUGUUCUUGACAAACAUUCUCAAAAGGAAAAAAGUGAGUACCGAAUUCGUUUGGAAGCUUCAAUUGAUGUGGCAAGACUUCUUUUGUAUCAUGGAUUGCGUUUUUGUAAUGACCCUUCAGGUCAUUAGCCGUAUUUUGCUUAUUUUGCUGAUAGAGCUCCUCCAUAGCCAUCCCAAGUCANNNNNNNNNNNNNNNNNNNNNNNNNNNNNNNNNNNNNNNNNNNNNNNNNNNNNNNNNNNNNNNNNNNNNNNNNNNNNNNNNNNNNNNNNNNNNNNNNNNNNNNNNNNNNNNNNNNNNNNNNNNNNNNNNNNNNNNNNNNNNNNNNNNNNNNNNNNNNNNNNNNNNNNNNNNNNNNNNNNNNNNNNNNNNNNNNNNNNNNNNNNNNNNNNNNNNNNNNNNNNNNNNNNNNNNNNNNNNNNNNNNNNNNNNNNNNNNNNNNNNNNNNNNNNNNNNNNNNNNNNNNNNNNNNNNNNNNNNNNNNNNNNNNNNNNNNNNNNNNNNNNNNNNNNNNNNNNNNNNNNNNNNNNNNNNNNNNNNNNNNNNNNNNNNNNNNNNNNNNNNNNNNNNNNNNNNNNNNNNNNNNNNNNNNNNNNNNNNNNNNNNNNNNNNNNNNNNNNNNNNNNNNNNNNNNNNNNNNNNNNNNNNNNNNNNNNNNNNNNNNNNNNNNNNNNNNNNNNNNNNNNNNNNNNNNNNNNNNNNNNNNNNNNNNNNNNNNNNNNNNNNNNNNNNNNNNNNNNNNNNNNNNNNNNNNNNNNNNNNNNNNNNNNNNNNNNNNNNNNNNNNNNNNNNNNNNNNNNNNNNNNNNNNNNNNNNNNNNNNNNNNNNNNNNNNNNNNNNNNNNNNNNNNNNNNNNNNNNNNNNNNNNNNNNNNNNNNNNNNNNNNNNNNNNNNNNNNNNNNNNNNNNNNNNNNNNNNNNNNNNNNNNNNNNNNNNNNNNNNNNNNNNNNNNNNNNNNNNNNNNNNNNNNNNNNNNNNNNNNNNNNNNNNNNNNNNNNNNNNNNNNNNNNNNNNNNNNNNNNNNNNNNNNNNNNNNNNNNNNNNNNNNNNNNNNNNNNNNNNNNNNNNNNNNNNNNNNNNNNNNNNNNNNNNNNNNNNNNNNNNNNNNNNNNNNNNNNNNNNNNNNNNNNNNNNNNNNNNNNNNNNNNNNNNNNNNNNNNNNNNNNNNNNNNNNNNNNNNNNNGAAUUGACAAGGGAACUAACCAGUAUGAUCCUGCAUUUCCUUCAAUAACUUCAUUUCCUCAAGUAGAGUAUGUCCUCCACUGACCAAACUUCCUGGUUUGCUCUUCUCUUCAGCAGAACCCAUAAAAACCUCUAUGAUUUCCCUCACUUCAACCCCAAAAACAAAACCAAAGAACCCAUCUUUCCAAAAACCCACACACAACCCACCAACCAACAAGUCAACAAUAUGACAUCUUCCUUAAUCUAAACAACCUAAAACUAACAUAACUGUCAAAGGAAUGAUUCUUCAAAACAUAGUAAAGGACAUGACAACAUUUUCUUGAAGAAUAAAAGACCAAAGAAAAACAAAGACUCAGAGAGAAUCUAAGUUAAUAUACAAGAAAACAAUCUAAUUGGACAGAGAAAGAGCAUGCCCAAAUAAUCCAAAACCAAAGAACAAACACCCCACACACUGCAAAAAGGACCUCUCUCUUUCUCUGCAAAAUCUAAGUGGGCCUUACUAUACUCUCCAUCAACACCCCAUCAAAACCAAAAAAAAAAAAAAAUUACAAACAAAAGGGGUCAGUUUUAUUUUUCCAUCAAAGCACGCGGACCAAAGCAUGAGGGGUCUUUAGCUAUCAAUUAGUACCUUUAUAUAAAAAAAAAAAAAAACUUUUUUUUCAUCAAAAAGAAACUGACCUUUCGAUGAAAGUAGUCAUCAUUCUGAUGAAACCCCAAAAACCCUUUUCUCUCUUUUUCAAAUAUAAUUCAAAAAAGAUUCAAUUUUUUUUUUUUUUUACCUACUCUGCAAAUACUGUUUCUUGAAAAUAGUUACAUCAUUCUUGAUUCCUCUAUUACUCCAUAAGCUAAGAAAAUACAAACAUCAAACACCCUUUUCUCUCUUUUUUUCAAAAUAUAUAAACAAAAUACAAAAAAGUUUCAAUUUUUAGUUUUUUUCUUCUCCUCUGCAAAUACUGUUUCUUGAAAUUUGUGAUCAUUCUGAUUCUUCUAUUAUAAGCUUAGAAAAUACAAACCCAAAAUACCCUUUUCUCAAAAUUUAUUUUCUAUAUAUUUUUUUUUACUCUGCAAAAAAAAACUGUGUGUAUGCAUGCUGUUACCCAGUGAACACACUUUCUUUCUCUGUAUAUUUUUAGGUGAUAUCAGUUGCAGCUUUAUGAGAUAAAUUUUGCAGCUAAAAAUAUGAAAGAAAAAAAAAAAAAAGGCCGAGAGAGGGAAAACUAAGUUAACACGAAAUGUACUUAAUAAACACUUUGGAAAGAAGAAAGUCAGAAAUUAAAUUAAAGAAAAUACAGUAUAGUACUUAAUAAAGAAAUAAGAAAACGUACAUUGCUUGCUAGCUUUCACAUAAUACUAUAUGACAAGGUAGAAAAUAUAAAUAAAUAAACUGCAUCGUAUGCAAACGAGGAACUAAUUAACUAAUUCGUGCAUCUUACUUGUCCUGUCCUAAUACAUGUGUCAAAAAAUAGUAAUAAAUAAUAAAAUAAAUUUAUUAUAUUAUAUUUUAAAUAUAAUAAAUUAAAGUUUUAAAAAAUACAAUGUAUUUAAUUACAUUGAUUUUCUAGAUUGAAUAAAUAUUACUCCUAUUAGACAUUCAUCUUUAAUAUAAUAAAUAAAUAAAAAAAUAAAGAGAGUAAUAUUAUAAUAAUAAAAAUAUUAUAGGGUAUAUUACUCUAUUUUUUUCCUGUGAUUUUAGUUUUCCGAUUUGAAUCGUAGAAGGAGCCACUAAAUUAGGCAUAACACUUUUGUGCAAUGUUCACUACUACUACUACUAUUAUUAUUAUUAUUAUUAUUAUUAUUAUUAUUAUUAUUAUUAUUAUUAUUAUUAUUAUUAUGGUCAUUUGUUUCAUGGCCGCACUAAGCUGAUUUAAUGUCGUAUAUCUGAAGCUACAAAUAUUUCAGAGAAUUUUAUUUUCUUGUUAAGCUUUCAUAUUGGUGGGAGCUAUAGGUGCUAUUUAAUUAUACAUGCUUUUGGAUAAAUUUCCACCUCAUUAUAAAUCAUUUUUCAAAGUUAUUUCCACUCAAGAUUCAUUUUAUAAAUAAUAGGAGUGUUUACAGGAUUCGAACAUAUGAAAAAAAAUCUUAUAUUAUUUUUUUUUCGAACUACUUUAUUGGUCAUUAAAUCACACGAUUGAAUUCUAGUUUGGGCUUCAUGUCGCGUUACAACCUCGAAAUGUCUAGUGUUGGACAUGAUAAUAUUCUCUCCAUCUCGAAUUAUCCGUCUCAAUUUUUUAAUUUGAUUUCUCAUUUUACUUGUUCUUUUUCAUCAAUCAAGAAGAGAUAAAUUCUUUUUUCAUGUUUUACCCUUUGCAUUAAUUAAUUUUUCUUCAAAGUAAAAUAUAAACAUCAUUUAAUAGGGACGCUAUGAUAAACUAGCCAUUUUAUUAAUUAUUUUUUUAAUUAAUGUGUUAUCUCAACUUGGAACGGUUAAUUUAGAACGAAGAAAGUAUAAGAAGUAUGAUUGAAAAUAUAAAUUAUAUUUUUUUAUAAUAAUGUAAUAAGAAUUUAUAUAUUAUGUAAUUAUUAUUUAAACUAAAAAGGACAAUCCAAAAAAAUUAUACUACUAAUAAUGCAAAACUUUAUGUCAAUUUAUUUGUCAAAUUUGGUUACAAAAACUAAAAAAAAAAAAAAAACAAAGAGUGGUAAUGACUAAUGACUGCUGAGGAUGAAUUUAACAUCCAAUUUUCUCAUGUGGAAAAAAGAAGGAAAAGGGAAAGAAAAUGACAAAGGAAAAAAGGGCGCAUUUUAAUACGUGGAUUACGAGGAUAUAUGGCCAAACCUAUUCAUUCCCGAUCGAUUUUACUUGUGACAUUUUAAAUUAAUAUAUUUAUUAAAAAAUAAUUAAUAUUAUAAUUAUUUUAAUUAUAAUAUUUCUAUUAAAUAAUACUUAUAUUAUAUUAUAAAAUUAUUUUUAAAAAAUAAUAAUUAAUAUUAAGAAUAAAAUAAAAAAAAGUUAUAUUCUAUUGAUAUAUUAAAAUAAUAAGUAAAACUAAAAUUUUAAUUAUUAAAUAAUUAAUGAUAAGUAAAUAUAAACGGAGAAAGUGUUAUUUAUUCGCUCAACUUCACAUGUUUGAUAUUUCCUUUUGGUUAAACUUAUUCGUUAUUGAUUUAUCACUCCUUUAUCUUGAGCCGAGGGUCCAUCGAAAACAGUCGCUCUAUUUCUUCGAAGUUAGCGGUAUGAACUGUGUAUAUUUUAUUCUCCCCAAACUCCACGCUGUGGGAAUACACUAAAAUUUUUUUUUGUUAUUGAUUUAUCACAUACCUAAAAAAUAAUAACUUUAGUUUUACAAAUAUAUAUAAAUUAAUAAAUAAUUGAUUGAACUUUUAAAAAAAAUUAAAUAAAUAAUCUAAAUAUAUAUUUUUAAUAUACUACAUAAAUAUGGACAAGUAAAGAUGAAGGAAACAAAUAUUUGAUAAUAACUUUUCUAUUUGGGAAUUCAUUUUCCAUCUCUUUUUUUUAGUUGUAAGGGGAAUUUGCUUUAUCCCUUGGUCUUUUAUGUAGCUUGAUGUUUGACUAAUCCUAAACGCGUGUGGGACACGACGUCGGCGCAUGUUAGCGUAGUCUUUUCAAUUUAUUUAUUUAUUUAUUUAUUUAUUUCAAUUUUCAGACUUUGGAAAGUGCUUUGAGGAUUCACUAGGAAAAUAGUUCUUUAGUUUUUUUAGAAAAUUACAAAAAUGACAAAAAUGUUAGAUAUAUGUAUUUAUCAUUUGUUUUGAUCUGACAGACUUCUCGAAUUCAAACUAGCUUAAGAGUAUAUGUCAUAUAAAUUUAUGUUAGUACUUUAUAAUUAAAACUCAUCACUCUUCUUUUAUAUUUUGAAGUAAAUUCGCUUAAGUAAUAUCAUAUCGACCGAUAAGUCAUUCUUCUUUAACUCAUCCUCGUUUUUUCAUCCUUCAUUUUGGUCUCACGAAUAAUAAAUUUCUCAAGAUAUUAAUUCCUUCACAAUUUUUUCGAAAACAUUAACCGAUAUAUCAAAUCUGAGUUUUUUCCUUUUGGCAAUUUAAAUUCAAAGCUUCUUCCUUAACAUGUUGCUAUUAAGGAUGUGAUUCAGUAGAUGGGGAUGCUCUUCCCUUAAUCAGAAGUCUAAUAUGAGUAUCGGACACCAGAUGAAAGACCAAAAAAACCACGUUGCUAUUAUUAAUCUGUUUCAUUGAACUAUGAAAAAAAAAAAAAAAAGAGUAGGUGUACGAUCUAUUUACAUAAAUUUCAUGAGUUAGGUCUAAUAGAAUUAAGGAUAAACUCCCGUACCCAUAUUAGUAUGUUUCAAGUUAAUCAUUCUUCUUUGUUUUUCAUGACCUUAAUUAGCCAACAAAAAUAUGUUCAAUUAUCUAACUUUUUUUUUCUUAAGAUGCUUAGUGGUGACCUACUUGCUCUCAUUGGAUACUUAACUAUCAUUAGCAUUUUAACUUAAAUGGGAAAAAUAUUCAAAGGGAAAGUAACAUGCCUAAAAUAAUUUUAUCCUUCUCAAGUCUGAACAGAUUGACUAAAAUAUAUAUUUAGGUUCCGUAUAGAAAAACUUUGCCAAUAAUUCUUCUUUUUUUGUCAAAUUGUACUUUCAACAAACCUUAUAAACAGAGAAAGUAAUAAACUAAUUAAUAUCAAUAUAUUUCAAUGUUUAUAUUCAUCGAUCGAAGGGGAGCCUUAGAGUUACUGGUAAAGUUAAGAUUGCGGACAGUAUACCUUGUGAUGGGGCUCUUCCGCGAAUCCUGUACACAACUUUUUUUUUAAUUUUUAAUUUGAUAUUAAUAUUGAGUCGCGACUAAUCACGUGAUAUUAUAUGGUCCGUAGAAUGAGAAAUGACCUUUUUUGUGUUGAGCGUAACGAGAGGGCCAUGCCAAUUACGUGACUAAAUUACUCCUAAUCUAAGGAUAAAAUUUACUCAUAAUGGAUUUUUGUAUUGACACAAUGAAUAUAUGAAGUGAGAGGCCAUAACAGAAAAAAGUGAGUUGUGUCAAUAUCCAGGCUCGAUGAUCGGAGGAAGCAAAAUAAAAUCUAAAUUUACAUAUGUCAUGGUCGAUCACUAUCCAUAAAAAGAAUUUUUAAAAAAAAACAUGUAUAAAGAAGAUCUCAUUAAUCCGAAAGACGUUGAAAUUAAAAAUAAGAUAACAUUUCUGAUAGAAAAUGACGAUUGUUUCAGAAAAAAUAAACUUAUAUAAAUGCUUCUUAUUUUAUUUUUUUAAGGAAAAAGGUCGCGAUUGCUUGCUCACUAAUGAUUAUUAUUUUUAUUAUUUAAUCAUAUAUAUUUUUGAGUUAAUUUUUACAAUAACCAUGAUAGAUAAAGUAGUAUAUAAUUUAAUGUAAAUAUUUUUUUGGUAAGUUGCACAAAAAAAAUAUUGUUAGGGCAAUAUAAUCAAAAGGGAAAAAAAUAGAGAAGCUUAAAAACUGAGGCACCGAAGAAUGAGAAAUUACUAAAACGUAUUCACAUGGCUGACCUCUUUGUGUGUGUGCAUGUUUUUAGCGCCACUCGAUAUUCGAUAUUCAAUAUUUUUAAUAUUAUAUUAAAUUCAGACUAAAUUUAAAUUAUUCAUAAUAAAAAAUUUAUUUGUGUAGAUUGCACUCUUAAUAAUUUUUUUUUUCCAGAGAUUUUAGUUCGAAAUUUUUAAUGAACGAUGAAGAAAUUCAACUGUUCCAUUACAAUUCAUGUUGGUGCAUAUAUUUAGUUCUCCAUCUCAAAACUAGAGGAUCAUCGGUCUUGACGUAACAAUAUAAACAACUAUGCGAUAUAGUUUCAAUCAAAAUAAAAUUUACGAAAAUAAUAGCAUUUGGUUGGUUUUUAUCAUUUAUAUGGUUAUAAAAGUUUUUAUUAACGAUAAAUUAAAAAACAUAGAGUUAUUUAUUUUUAGAACAGAGUAAAAACAGAACUAAAGUACUAUUUAUUUCUAGUUACGUACGUAUUGAUAGUGAGAGAAGCCAUGUUUGCAUGGUUUCGUACCGUGACAUAUACUAAUACCAACUUUAAUUGGUAGCUAUUUCUAAUUCGUCAUAAAGCUCCCAGCUUCUCAUCUACUUAUAUUUUUAAUAAAAACAUACAAUUAUAUGCAUGUACAAUUACAUAUGCAUUAAUGUAAUAAUAAUAUGCAAGACAAAUUAUUGUUAGUAUGUAUAUGACUUUUACGAUGAUUUAAAAUAUAAAAUAUUAUUGCAUAACAUUUUAUUUUAGCAAUAAGAAUCCAUAGAAGACCUAGUAACUGUUCACAAGGACAAAUUAAAGAUACAUCGCCAUAUUAUUUCUUCUCUAUAAUUGGGACAUAAAUUAUGGCUACUCCGAGUACUAAUAUCAAAUAUUACCUACCUACUAAUAUUUAUUUUCUAUUUAAAAUUAAACUGAAAUUAUAAUAUAAGUAGUUAUGAACCAAUAUGUUGAAACUAUAAUGUGUUCAAUUAACAAUCUUAAAGUACAAUUUUGUGUCCACUAAAAAUAAAACACACAAAAUGAACCCGAAGAAGAGCUAAACUACAGUAAAAAGUAUAUUAACAAACUCUAAUUAGAGAGUUAAGUUAAUGUGAAUUGAAAGAACUUAACGUCAUUAAUUUAUUUAGACAUGUAGUGCAUCAAAAUUAAAUAACUAACUGAAUUUUUUUUUGGAUAUUAAUUUAGGUAAAUUUGAAGUUGAAGCUGAAUCCCAGACCAACUUUUCUAUCUUCAAAAAAUAGAAAUAAAAUUUGCUUACAUGUCACUCUCUCUAAAUUAACCCCUCGGAAAGAUUGAAGAGAACAUUUAUGCUAAAUUAUCUUUUCUUUACACAUUUAAAUUAUCUCAAUAUCGACUUCGUCAUCUUAUCAUCACAAAAUUUAUUUUUAUGUUAUUCCAAAUAAUGUUAUUUCUGAUCCUAACUUUCUUAGUAUGCUUACAUAUUUAUGAUUUAUCUCAAUGUUUUCAUUACGUUAUCUUAUGAGCAUGUUACUCCUUCUAUCCAAUAAUAAAUAUAUACAUGUACUAUCAAUUUGACACGCAUGUUAAGUAAUAAAUAGUAGAAAAUAAUUUUAUUACAGUAUUACUUUUUGAAUAAAAUUAAUUUAAUAUUUUUUUUAAAAUUAAUUAAUAGUAAUAAUUAUAAUUAAGAAUUAAAGAUAAAAUAGAUGAAUAUUUUUCAAAUUAAAUAAAUAUUAUUGAACCUAAUUUUUAUAUACUAUAAUAAAUAAGUAUAGUUGAAAGGAGGAAGUUGUUUGUAAAAAAUGGUAAAAACUUACAUGCACUCGGUAUAUAUAUUAAAUUAAUGUCUUUAUCAUGAUUAAGUGAUUAAAUUAAGCAAAAAUAUUUAUUAAUUUCAUAAUUAACUAACAUGAAAUCUAAAUUCAAACAAAUGUCAUGUAUAUAUUGGUGUGAUAUAUACACCGAGUAGGGGCAGAUCUAGGAUUUUCAAUAAGGAGAUUCAGUAGUACUAUACGGACUAGUCAAAGAGGGUUCAACCUCUAUUAUUUAUAUAUAAAAAAAAAAUUUACUAUAUAAAAAUAAUAUAAUUUUCCGACGAAGGAGGUUCGGAAGAACCUCUAAAAUAUCCGUACAUCCGCCACUAAAAAAUUAUGUUAUGCAAUGUUUAAGUAAUAUAGAGGCAAGAUUAGAGAUUGUAGCAUAGUUAAGGAACAUGAAGAAGAAAGACACUAAUCCCGUUAAGAGGCACGUGAAUAUAUGCAUGACGGACCACGAAUUAUCAUGCACGCAUGCAUUCUAACUAAAUCACGGCCGUCCAAAAUGGACUUCAUUGGGAUCCGGCCCCAUUUAGCACGCCCAAAUUCGAUACUCUCAGUAGGGCCCAUUAAGCUCAGCUUUCUAUGGUCCUUUGGAACUUAAACUCGCCGCAUUCCUCUGUACUAAAUUUUAUUCCCUUUCCUAUUUUUCAUUGGGUUUCACAUUCACAGUUCGAUAUAUAUGCGUUGGAAUUCGACUAACUCUGAAUUCGUUUAAGAAAAUUUCAUAUUGGAAGGAAUGAAAUACUUCCUAAUAAAUGUAACUCCAUAAUCAAGUGAAUUCAGAUUCAAAAAUUUUGAUUAAUGAUAAAAGAGUGCUUAUUACUUUACCGCAAUUCAAAGGUGAAGUUAACAUACAAUUAAGGAUUUCUUUCGAAUCCUCUUUCAUGAAAAAUUACGUUAUUUAUAUAUGAUUAAAACUAUUUUUAUAUUGAUACUUGUGAUAUUUUGGCAUAAGAUGCUAUGUUGAAGCUCCUUAAUUUGUGUGUAUAUUUUUGAACCCCUAAAUAAAAAUUACGGUUAUAUUAGUGCCGCAGCCUAGUGGGUAUUCCCUUUUACUGUUUAUACUUUCUAUACAUCUGUGUUUCCCCUAAGCCGUUGAUUGGUGUCCACGUGUCAAUAAUCUGACUCGUGAAAAAUACUUGUGGGUCCCGGAGAACGUUACCUUCAUGGAUUUAGGCGGUGGAUCGAUGACGCAUUUUGAUUUUCUAUUAAGUCAUGUUUGAGUCAGUUGAAGCAGAAAUAUUAAUUGAGAUUAACUUAUAUCGAUCGCGACUUAUUAUAUCAGAGAAAGAUUAAGUAUGAUUCUGCAUCUGAUCAUAAUGAGAAUUUGGAUUUGUUAUAAGGUUUAAGCAAUCUUCUUUUCUUAUUAUGAAUUAUUUUAUAAUAUAUGAUAUGAGGCAGUUGAGUCGUACAUGAAGUUGUAAAUAUACUCCUCGUUCUAAAAUGUCACGCUCUGAAUAUGGGCAUGAGUUAUUUAAAAUUAUGUUAUAUUUAAAUAUAAUAAUAAUGUUAUUUAUUAAAUAAACACGAGACUGGCAAAUCUAACCUUGUUUUGCUUAAUCAAAUGGCUAACUAAUUUUCUUGUAUGAAUUUGCAAAUGAUUUUUUAAAUUUCUAAUCAUAGAAUUGUUUGACAAAAUAAUUAAUAUAUACACAUUUUAAAAUUAAUAAUAUUCAAUAUUGUCUGUUUUACCCUUUUCGUAUCAAUGUAAAUCUACAGCAUUGAAAAGAGUUUUAAGAGUAUAAUUUCGUAGUAAAAAAAGUUACAAUUCGAAUUGCAAUUAUGUCCACCUCACCUUUCUAUAUUAACUGUGUGAAAGGAAAAAAAAAAUGAAAUAGUAGGUAUAUAAUCAAUCGCAUUAUUAUACUAUAUUUGACAAUUUUUUUUUCCCCACAAGUUUAAGCACCAACUAGACAUUUGUCACUAGGAAAUAUUUAAUUACCUACAAAUUUUCUAUCCGAACACUCGAUCUUCAUAUCCUUCCUAUCAAAUUCAUGUCUUUGGUUAGCAGCAAGUUUAGCGUAUCAUGUCUAAUCAUCUUUUACAAUUUUUCUUCGAUCUACCUCAAUCCCCUGUCAGAUACGUCAUGAUCAGUCUCUCACAUUUUUUCAUUGGAACAGCUGUGUAUAUGCUCUUCUCGUGUUUGAAUUGUUUCUAUCUCGUUUUUCUUAUGUUAUCCACCAUGAAACCACUUUCACCCUUAUCUCGAAUAUCUUGGUUUCUAAUCUUUUAUCUUUCCUUGGAUCAUGUGACCAAAAAAUUGCCAAUAUUUGACUACACCAUAAUGAAUGUAUCUUAAUUUAAUAAUUCAACCAUAAAGGGUAAAUAAAAUAAAAAUAGAAAUAUAGUACAAGCUGCCAAAACCAAAAGUGAAGUACCACUAAUUAAGAUAAUAAUGGUGCUGUUAAAGAAGUAAUGCUAUAAUUGACCACAAUAAUUUUAUCCUUAGUCUUAUUGCACCAAACAUUGAGGCUAAUUUAGCAUGCUCAAUUAUUGAAUCUUUUAAAAUUAUUAUGGGCCAAAAACUCCAGCAGAAAAAGGACUAAAAAAGACAAAUUUUCUCCUAGAAAAAAGAAAACAUUUUUUUUAUUAAAAAAAAAAAUGAAACUCAAUUACCUAGUCAAAUUGUCUCAGACAAUAGGACAUUUUUUUCCAAAUAACAAACAAAAUUUCCACCGAAAGUAGUAAAACUAAUCCACUCAUCGGCCAAAUAAAUAAAUCCCCAUUAAAAUAGGAAAAUCUCUUCAAUUAGAGGAUCUUGACAUAGAAAAUAUUUAUCCGCACCUGAUAUUUAUGAUAAAAUAAAUUACUUAUAAAAGAGAUUAAAGUAAAAUAUGUAUUACUUAUCCACAAUAGAGUAAUAAAUAUGUACAAAUAAUGCGUACAUAUUGCAUUGUGCAAAUUUUCGAUGGAGAUAACUUUUAAUUCAAUAGCAUAUAAAAGACAUGGUUUACUCAAUUUCUCAGCAAACCCUAUUUAAUUUACUUGAUUUUGUUUUGUUAAUUUCACAUUGACUAUUCGAUAUUUAUAUUGUGAUCCUAAUUAAUUUGAAUUCACAUCGUUUAGACCCAAAUGUGAGCACUUUCGAUCCGAUUUUUUUCCCUAACCUUGACCUAUUGCUACAUGAUAGUAGAGCAGCUUAUUAAAGACAUAUCUUACAAUAAAUUUCAUCAAAAAAAUUAUCGUAGCGAUUGACAGUAAAAAGAAAUCUACAUCGAGUUUGUUGUUAUGUAGCUGAUCAAUCUCCCUAUACGCACGUAUGGGAGACUAAUUAGGUUCAAAUGUCAAUAGAGACUGAAGUUGACAAAUAUUUCAUAUCGAUGAAGUUAUUCGAUACGUAUUUUAGGAGAAAAUUACGAUUAACUAAUAAAAUAAUUGUGAUCAUGUAUAUAAACUUACUCGAACACCAUCGUUACAAACUUAAAUUUUAAUUUUACCCAUUCACGAUCUCAUGUACUCCAUUUGAUCUAUGUUUUUGUCUAUUAAAUUACAUACUAUACAAUAUUCUCAUCAAAAUAUAGAAAUUAUAUUUCAACCAUCACUAUGAUUGGAAGAGAUGGAACCCCACAAUGUUAUUAGUAGAAGUACAUAAAGAUGAAACUUUUUUUUCCACCAAAAGAAAAAAGAAUAGUUAUUGGAGAAAAAAAAUAAAAGAAAAGAAGGAAUUAUAAGUAGUCCAUAUAGCUGGCUAAAUCAUAAAUCAACUAAUCAUGUAUAGUGCUCUUUUUCUUUGACCUUAGAUUGCUUCUAUUAAAGCAAAAUCACUUUCUUAAAGUGUGAGAUACGUAUCAAGAAAAAAAGAAAAAAGAAAAAGUGAGUGUGGAGAGUCAAUUAUUACUAUCUGGAAAUAUCUUAUCCUAUUUUUAAUAUUUAAUAAAAAUAAAAUAUAUAUACCUGCUUCGUUUCAUUUUACUUGUCAUAAUUUUCUUUUUUAUAAUUAAACAAUCGAUAUAAAUUUUGACAACACUUUAAGAUUCAUUUUUCAAUCAUACUAUUUGAUAUAAGAAACGUUGCAACUUAUAGUUAUUUUUUUGUAAUUUUAAAAUUAGUCAUAUUGACUCUCGAAAAGUAAAAUACGAUAGCUAAUAGCUAAAAAAGAAGUGAGGGAGUAUAUAUAAUUGGUGUUGGGUCAAUAUUUUGAUAAUUUGAGACCGUUGAAUGAUGAAAAAGAAUUGGUGAUUAAUUAUUGCCCAUCUUUUCUUGUUUUCAGAAUUGAUUAUUAUAUCUCAAGGAAAAAUCAUCGACCUGCAUUUAUUUUCCAUUCAUAAAUCUUUGUUGAAUAUUCAUAUACCAUAAAAAAGUUAAUGUUUUUUCGAGUUUUCUCUUUUUAUUGAAAAUAAUAAAUACUAGUAAUUUUCAUGCUGAUGUUGUAUGGUUAGCUUGUUAAUCAUUUGACAAGUGAAAGUUAUCGGUUGAUGUUGUUUCAUUGGGCAACAAAAUGAUUUACGUUAUGAAUAAAUUUACUCAAAACAUGACUUUAAUUAGCAGGAUAUAUAUGUAUUAUGAAAGUCGAAGAUUUGGAUGGAGCAUUAGUAUGUAGUCGAGCAUUGACGAUUUGUCCUAGUAAUUAUUAGUGCUCGCCCGCUGUAUAUUUUCUUUGGCUUUGUUUAUUGUAAUAUUUAAUUUGUUGCGGCUACCGUUCUUCUUUUCAUUAUUUUUUAUAUGAGUCCUUCUGAGUUGUAUUUCUCUUUAUUAUUGAUUUGAAUAUGCUUUACUUGAAUCAAAGAUCAAUUAGAAACAAUUACCACUCUAUUUUGACAAAGUAGGUGUAAGAAUAUGUACAUAUACCACCCUUUUCGGACUCCGGUUAUGAAAAUUCACUCGAUGAUGAUGUUAUUGUUAUGGACAAGCAAAAAAUAAUUUUGAUACUAAAAUUAUUAAUAUGAAGCUUCGAGAUAAUUGUUCUCGGAUCAGAGAAUGAAGAAUUUUAUUUUAAUGAUCAAUGGUGGGACGUUGAUAUAUAACAGGUAAAUCCACAUAAUAUUUUGAUAUAUGAAAAAGGACCGUACAUGUACUUUGUGCAAAUAAAUCCACAUAAUAUUUUGGAUUAAAACAAACAAUACGUACUAUGAACUUGACCUACAACUUAGUGAAAUACGUAAUUGAAAAAAAAAAAUUUAGUAAACUCAUCACAAAGAAUUAAAUAGAGCGAGAGGAGAUAGAAAAAAAAAGGACAAUUUGAUACACUAAAGCUUUCACUAUGUGCAGAUUAUUCGAAAAGGACCCAACCACUAGUGGAGAUAGAGUAGGAAGGAUUUGUUAAAGCAUGUUAUAUGCACUCGAUAGAUUAGUCAACUAAGUGCUUCAACUUUAUGUCACAGGCAAAUGAUUAACAUCAUCAUUAUAUAAAUAAUAAUAAGAUUUCAUUAAGAUAAUCAACAUAGUGAUGAAAGAAAAAAAAAGAAUAUAGUAUAUAGUAGUAGUACUACUACUCCAUGUAUCAUCAAAUAAAGUGACCAAUAUAGGUAGUAGUGGGACUACUUCAUCCUUAAUCACAUGUUUUGAAUUCAAAUUUUGGGCCUGAAAAAAAUUCUGCCGGGAGCGUCACCCUCAGAAUUAACGUCGCGAUUCAAAUUAGCCGAGACUUCAAUAAAGAUAUCGAACACCGGGUGAAAAAUCUGAAAAAAAAAAAAAAAAAGUGGUAAAUUCCAUUGGGGUGGGGGUGGGGGUGGGGGGUCCACAAGUGAUGAUUGAAAGUGAAAGGACUCUUUUAAGGCAAAAAAAAAAUGGAAUUGGGCGUGCCGCAAGGGGAACACAACUACUGUAUAAAGUGUAGGCAAGUGAGGAAACAUUUUCUUGUUUUUGUUCUCUGUUUUAUGUUCAUUUUGUCCCUCUAUCAAUUCUCUUUUUAUUCUCUACUUAUUUAUGCAAUCUCAACUUUGGUCAUUUUCUUCUUGUGGGCCUUAAAUUUUAUUCCUAGAUAUAUGCAAAGUAUGUAACAUUGUUGUAGUAUAUACUCACUCUCUAAUAACUAUUUUUACGGUCUAAGUUCAUGAUAUUUAUUCGACCUAAUGACAUAUAUUUAUUGUAAUAAUCCAGCAUGUCUCAUAGAUCCAUCCAUUAAACUACAAUAUUAUCACGUUCGAUAGACAAAUUUGUGAGUUUUAAGGGCCGAAGUAGACAAUAACCUUGAAUUUAGGUCAUGAAAAAUAUGAUAUCAGAGUCGAAUACUUUCUCAAUACAGUGGUGUGGCAAGCUUCAAUGAGAUUGUUUAGCCCAUAAGAGGAGUGUGUGUGACGGUAAUGACAGAGGGUUGUUCGAUGAGGACAAGUGUCAUAAAAAAUAUGAUAUCAAAGAUGAAUAUACUCUCAAUACAGUGGAGCAGCAAACUUCAAUGGGCAUGCUAAGUCCAUAAAAGGAGUGUUUGACGCUAAUGACAGAGGGUUGCUCAUGAGGACAAGUAUUAGAGAAAGAAUGAUAGACUUCUAGAGUAACAAGUUUUUAAAGAGAAAGUGCACAUGAUACUUUACGUGAAUAUCAUAUUGAAAUAAAAUUAAAAAUAAUUUUUUAAAAAGUUAAAAAUUAAGGCGUAUCAUAAAAUAACAUAAUCUAUAGGUAUUGUAUUCAAAACUUAAUAUCUUCUGUUUUUGUUGUAAUAGCAAUAACUUUUUCAUAGUUCUUUUAACAACACCCAAAUCCUUGCAACUAUCAAUAGGCCCCAACUUGGGCAGAUAAUAAAGGUACAAAAAUGAAAAAGGAAAUUCAAAAAAUGAAAGUCAAUAUUAAAAGUUUGCAAUUUAUGUUAAAAGACACUAUUUUUAUCAACAUAUAUAUAAAUUUAUCUCUUAUUUUUUUGGACUGCUAUUUUUUAAAGGAAAAAUAACAUAAAUUUCAAACUUAUUAGAAUUAUUUACACUCUCUUCCACUUCCAUUAUUUUGAACUGAUUAUAUUAAUUGUAAUCCAUCAAUUUUAGUGAAUCCAAAAUACUGUCAUUUUUCCUUGACUUAUUUUUCGUUUAAAGAUAAAAGUCCACCAAGUUGUAAAAAUUUUAUUUAUAGAAAAAGGUAAGAGACAAAAAGUGAAUUUGCAUAAAGUAUUAAAAGAAGAUUUUAGUAGGCAUCGAGGCGUGGUAUAUAGUGAGCUUGGAUCUCACAAAUUGUAUGGGUCUCCAUAUAGCCCAACAAAUCAUAAGUACCAAUUACUUAAAAAGGAAAAGGACAAUAUAUAGCACUUUCUAAAAUAAAUAGCCUAAAUUUGAAAUUUUUUCAAAAAGUGGUCAGUCGCAUAUAUUAUUUUCGCUUUAUAGCCUUUUUCCGAUUUGAGUUAUUUUGGCCUACGUAGUCCAUAUACAAUACCAAUACAGUCUAUAUACAAUACUUAUACAGUAUUCAACUUGGGCAAUUUGACACUUGUAAAAAUAUUUCAAUCUUUUUUUUUUCUAUAAAUUUUUUAACUGAUCAAAUAUUUUACUUUUUUUUAUUAUUUAAAAAUAAUAAUUAAAUUAUAUAAAAACGAUAUAAUUGUUUAAUAGAAUAUGUAUCUGUAUAAGAUAUAUGUAUAAAAAUUGUAUAGUUCUAUCAAAUAUGUAUAUGUAUAAAAUAUGUAUAAAAAAUAUAUAGAAAGUGUAUAAAAAUUAUAUAUAGAAUAUUUAUAUGUAUAAGAUAUGUAUAGAAACUGUCUAGAAGUUGUGUAGAAACAGUAUAGAACAAGUCAGUAAAUUGAAAAGGUUAGAAGGUGAAAUUUAAAUUACAUGGCUAUUUUCAUGGAAAUAAUUUAAUUUGAAGUGUUGUUUCUUUCCUUUACCCUUACUUAAAACUACAACUUGAGUUUAUAUUAUUACACAAAAUUCCAACUAUCAAAAGUAAUUACAGAAAUUCUUUUUUUUUUUUUAAUUUCUCUCUCCAAAUAUCAUAUACACAUCUCAUCUACCCUUAUACUCCUCAAAUAGUGCCUAAAAUCAAGAAAAUUACCUAAUAUAGCAUUAAGGAGAGUAAUUAAGGAGCAAAUUACCUAAUAUAUUAUUUGAAAGAAACAUUUAUUUUCUAAUAUAUCUCUAUUUUCUGAUCUUUAAUAUAUAUUUUUUCCUCAAGUGUUUGUCUUUCUCAAGAACUCUUCAAAAUACAGAUUUUUAUUAAUCUCUCAAUUGUUAGUAUAGAGUUUUCGUUUGAUUUGACCAACAAUCGUCAUCACUAUGGAGAAAAUGCAAAAAUCUCCAAUCUUUAAAGCACAUUUUUCAUGAUCAUCAAUGGUUUCAACUCGAACCACAUUAUUCUAUGCGAGCUUAUUUACGCUUUCAUCGUUACUUUUUCAACAUCUAUUCAUUAUGCACACAAGUUGUUUGCUCAAAUUACUUAAUCAGGUCUCUUCAUGUGGAACACUAUGCUUAGAGGUUUAACUUAGAGUCUUAGGCCUUUUUUAGCUGUGGAACACUAAACGUAUUUGUCUUAUACGUGGUAAUUGGUAAGAUACACACGACAGUUUUGAUCGAUGCUGGUGAUAUCAUUCUUAUUAAAAGAAAAGAUAAAAGAUGAGGAAAAAAAAAGUAUGUAUAUAUACAUAUGGAAUUUGAUAUUGCUGGGAGUUUUUAUGUCACACCAUAUACAUAUGCAUGAAAUUUGUUAUUACUUUAUGCCAAACAUUGAUGGAAUGUUUGUUUCAAAAAAAUAUACAUUACAAAGUUAUGUAUAUCAACUCAUAUACAUAAUUUUGUUAUGUAUAUGUGUUGAAACAGAUACUUUUGGACUGUUGUAUUUUCAGAACAUAUACAUCACAUAAUUAUGUAUAUUUUAUGUGUAAUAAUGUUAUACGUAACACAGUUAUGUAUAUAAUUCUAUUAGACAAGUUGAAGUGUGUUUAUUUCAGCCUAUAUACAUAGCAUUAUUAUGCAUAUGAAAGGCUAUUAGGGAUGAAUAUUAAGCAUUGUUUUAUGUUUUCAAGUUUUGAAAAUUUUUGUUUAAGUUCCGUUGCAUAUUAAACUAAUAUUGGUUUGCAUUGUAUAUUAUUACAGGGAAUGGAAUUCAGAUGUAAUUGUCAAAAUCAAUUCGAGAUUUCUCAAUCUAUAAUUUUGAUCGUUGAAAUAGCUUUGGUGUUUCAAAUUUUAAAAUUAAAAAGUUGUUACUGAAUCUAAGGGAUCCAUUAAUCACAAUUUUAUAAAUAUAACGAUAAUUGUGUUAUUUAUUUAAGACAUAUAUUUUAUUUUCUUAAUUAUAGUUAAAUUUUUUAGUCCAGAUACAUAAAUAGAAAUGUAUAUGGUCGAUAACUUAUGUAUAAAAAUAAGGAGAGAGAAAUUUUAAUUGAAAAAAAAGGAGAAAAGGUAAUUAUGUUUUAAAAUUGUGAAAUUUAUGUUAUUUCUUUUCAAUUGUCUUGGUUUAGGUGGCCAUCUAUCCACAUCGAAGCAACAUCAAACAUCAGUGCCUACAGUUUCAUAUGGUUGAUAUUUAUACAAAUACAUCUGACGCUCAUGUUACAUAUGACUAGAGUUCAACUGUUUCCUCUUGAACUUCAAUUAUAGGUGGCUGAAUUUUCUCGAGUUGAGGAUUCAUUGAAAACAACCUCUCUAUGUUACUUUUUUUUUUCCUAAAAUAAUUUGGAUAUUGUUUUCAUGAGUGGCUCAAAGGUGAGACUACUAAUUUGCUUCAAGCCCUAAAAAAAUUUGAAGUUCAAAGAAAUUUUAAUAGUGAAUUUUAUGAUUUUAAUUUCAGUUAAAAUAAUAUUGGAGAUUGUAAAAAAGUACAUAAUUUUAAUUUUUAAACCAAAACAAAGAACUAUCACUUUUUGCCAAAAAUAUUUUAGAAAUAUGAAUUAAUCAACUUAAAUAUUCAUAUAAUAAUAAAGUAAAUUUUUACAAUAAUAUCAAAGCUUAUGUAUUGCAAUAAAUGAUUGACAUCUUAGUAACUAGAAUUAAUUCUUACUUUUAUAAAUAAUAAUAUUAUUACUGUGAGAAGUUAAAUGUUUAAUAUCUUUUAUAAACAUAUUAAAAGAUAAGGAAACUACAAAUUGCUUCUUUUGUUUCACCUCUCCUUAAUAAUUUAGGAUAAGGAAAUAAAGUUCCUUUCAAUACGUUCCAAAAUCCAAAAGUUUUAGGACUCUUAUAAAGGCUUUUUUUUUUUUUUCCCGAUCAGUAAGAAAAGAUGCAUUAAGUAAACAAAAGGAGUUCUUUACAAAACAACAUGCCUAGGCGGGCACGAAAACAAAAGAAGCUGACCUUGAGGUUCGAUUACUAGGUACAAUGCGGGAGAAAGAUUUCUCUUUCCAAUCUUCACAAAAAAUUAUUCCUACGCUAGCUGGUAGAGUGACAUAGACAUGGAAUCUUUCAAAAAAAGUCUUGGUUAGCUCCUUGCUUUGCCUCUAUAAAGCUUUCUUUGUUACACUCCUUAAAGUUGAAGUCAACAACACAAUUUGGAAUAGUACCAACAAACAAAAAAACCCAUAACGUAUAUCAAGUUUAAAUAUCUAAUUCAACUAGUUUAGUAUAUGUGCACGUGUAUUUCAUGUCAGAUAUAAAAGAUUAUAUACAAAAAAAAAGUAUAUUUUAUUAUAUUGCAAUUGAAAUUGCAGUAUAUGCAACAUUAUAUUCAUGAUUUAAAUGGCAAAAAUAUUUGUUUCUUUUGAGUAUGUUGUUGUACUUGUAUGUCACAUUAAUUAAUCAACACCUUUUUUUUAUAAACACAAAUAUAUUAAGGAUUGAACCAAGAUUGCUCAACGAGGUGUUGAAAUAUCUCUAAAGUCCCUCCAAAAACACGUCUUGAGAAAAGUAACUAUUUGAUCUUAUAACCUUUUUAUAUGAUUUUAAACUACAUAUAUUGAGAUCACAGUUAAUCAAUAUAAAUGUAUAAAAGAACAAAAAUUAUCAAAAAAUUACAUUUUCUUCUUUGAGGUUAAUUUUCCCGUAAUAUGUACACAUUAGCUUAUAUGUAAUUAUCAUAGAGUAUAAUAGAUUGUUGUGAUCCAAUUCUUUUUCAAAUUCUGUGCAUACCAGGUGUUUUAAUGUACUUAAAUGACUUUUUUAUUGUGAGAGAAUGAAUAUAUAUGCUUGUAUUGCAUCCUAAAUUGUAUGUCAACAUUUUCUCUUGCCUCACAAAUUAAUGUCCAUCUUCUCUUGCAAAGAAACCGUUCAACCAUAUACAUAUACCACAAAAACUAAAAUCAAAUUUUACUUGUUUAGUUGUUUCUUGUGUUAGUUUCUUUCUCAUCAACACAAAAGGUGUCUAAAUCUAAAGUUGAGCUUAAUGAAAAAGAGAAUUAUGUUGUGAAAAGAAAAAAAAAACCUUGGAAGUGACCAUUGUGGUGUAUUGUUGUUGUGUUCUUGAAGGUGUUGAUGUUGUGUUCAUCCUAAACUUCUCCUCAUCUUAUGUCUUAACUUCUAUAAAGAUAAAUAGAUCCAAAAAGAUUGUAAGACAAAAUUGAAAAUUGUUUGUGAGAAGACUUGCCAACAUCACCUUUUCAAGACUUGACAUCCAUUUUUCCUUAAAAUAAGGAACCUUGUCUUGUGGGACUAGUGAGGUCAAACAUCACCUUUUGAGUUUGAAAAAGGGGGGGGGGGGGGGGGUUUGAAAAAUGUUAAAACUUUAUGUUUUCCAUCCCAAUAACAAGUCAUCCAUUACAAAAGAUCUAAGGGGACUAAGACUUCAAGUUGAUGAACUAUUUAUGUGGACCCGCGGCCAUUGACAUGCUGCCACGUCACCCUAGUUACUGUUCAAGUGAGAAUUAAGCUCAAAUUUGGAUGUUCUAGUUUCUAAUUAUUGAUUCCUAGUUUCCUCUAACUGACUUGAGAACUAAUUAACAAACUAGUACAUUCCUACUAGCUUGUCAAUUAGUCACUUGAAGCUUUGUGUUCGUGUCAACGUUUGUUUGUAUGUUUUUGUCGUUUGAAUACAUUGUAACUCUUGGCUCUAGUCCGACGAGAAUUCUUUGAGUUUCAAACAAGAAUCCAUUCCGAGCAAGAGCAUACUCAUACCUUACGGAUUCACGGGUUCCUAGCCAAUCUACAACACUUGUGGAACUUGAGUGUGAGUGAACCAAAAGAGUGUGAGUGAGGAGAAGGAUUUUAAACUAACUUGUUUGUUGCUUGUGUAGGUGACACCUUGAUAAUGGAGGGAACCACAUCUCAAACCGUGGAUUCUAAUGAAAGGAGAAUAUGAGGGUCACUCUUGAGGCUAUGACCCUAGCUCUUGGAAGGUUGAGUACGGAAGUGAGAGCCAUAAGGGGAGAAGUGACAACUAUUAGUGGGAGGUUAGAACAAGUGGAGAGUCAAAGGAACUCUCGUCCUUCUACUCCUCGACAUAUUUCGUCAAGUGAACAUGAUAGAAAUUCCUCCGUCACCGUUACUCGCGAAGCAUGGCCACAAUUUCCAAAUCCCUCACUAGCUCCACUAAAUGCUGCAAGACAAACCACUUAUAACCCUCUAAAUUGAGACUCCAAUAGAUCAACCCAUUCCCAAACAUCUCAAGUUCCGCAAGAGGUACUCGGACGUCAAAUGCCUCCACAAAAUCCGAACCCCCUUCCAAAAUCCACUAAACCAACACCACCUCCACAAAAUCCAAUUCCUCCGAAUCAAGUUCCAAAUGUCCAAAAUUAUCCCGUCCACCUUGAGGAAUAUGGUAAAGAGGAUUAUGAAGGGUAUGGAACCUUUGACGAUACCUAUAUGAGGGAGAAAGAGAUGAGAGGGGGUCGUGUGGAUCUAAGGAGAUACUGAGGGAAUGGAGAAAGGGGAAAUCGACACCUAGAGAGAGACGUAGGCAUAAAUACCAUCAAAUUAAGCCUACCUAUCUUUAAGGGUGAAAGUGACCCCAAGGUGUAUCUUUCUUGGGAGUCGGCGUGUGAUAAAGUGUUUCAAGUGAAUGAUAUCUCGGAGGAGAAGAAGAGUUGUUAUGACAUAGCUCAUUUUGAAGUCUAUGCUAACACUUGGUGGGAAUACGUCAAGUGGUUCGGCAACGAGUUGGUAGAGGGACAACCACCACCAUGGUUUCGGUUGAGGUACAGAAUGAGGCAACAUUAUCUUCUCAAAAGUUAUCGUCAUGAGUUACUUGCUAGGUUGUACAAUUUGCGACAAGGGAAUCAAAGUGUUAUGGCAUACUAUGACGAGUUUCAACAACUCAUGUUGAAGCUUGAUCAUCGGGGAGAAAAAAUUGGCCAUGACAUCAUUCGAUUCAAGUGUGGGUUGAACAAAGAGAUCUCCACUCAUUUGACGCUUCACAAGUUUGAUAUCGUUGAAGGGAUUUUCCAAGAGGCUCUUGAGAUUGAAAGGGAGCUUAAAGAGAGGUCGUCGUUCAAGGCAAAGGGACCAUCAACCUCGGGUUGGCCGAGGAGCAAAGAUAUGGUUUAACUAUCUUCGGGUUGGCCCAAAAACAAGGACCAACCCGCCACUACAAGGAUGUCCGAGCCUAAAACAGUCCAUAAAUUUCCUCCCCAGCAAGAAGCUCACUAGUAUCUUAAUCCUAAAGGGUUCCAAUGUUUCAAGUGCCAAGAUUGGGGACAUAAAGCCAAUGAAUGUCCAAACCGGAGCAAUGUGAUCCUAAGGAGAGGGAGAUUGUAUUACCUUGGUGAGGAAGUGGGUCUUGAAAAAGAAGAGAAUGAGGCUGAGCCUCAAGAUAGAGAGAAACCCGAAAAUGAGCCACAUGAUGAUGAUAAUUGUGAGGAUGCUUAUCCGCAAGAAGGGGAGUGCGUGGUUCCAAACUUUGUAGUGAGGCGUGCCAUGAUUAGUAAGGCGAUACAUGACCCUAGACAACGGGAGAAUUUAUUCCAUACUAAAUGUCUUGUGAAGAGAAGUGUGUGCACUAUGGUGAUAAAUAGUGAAAGUUGUGCGAAUGUGGUUAGUGUUGCAAUGAGGAACUUCUUGAAAUUGCCGACUACACCUCACACUAGUCCUUAUAAGUUGCAAUGGUUGAAUAAAUGCUGCGAGUUAAAGGUCACAAGGCAAUGUGUGAUACGUUUUAAGGUAGCCAACUACCAUGACGAGGUGCUUUAACCCGAGAGUGAGGGAGUAGGGGAAACCGAGGGGCUCCUAAUUUCUAAAGGGCAAGGAAGUGUGGUGAUGAUGGCUAGGAGGAAAGAAUUAUUUGUGGAUCAUGACGAGGACACUUCGAUGCUCCUCUUGGCUCAUUGUUUUAACACUAACGCCACUAACAUUUCCAUUUCUCCUCCUAUUUCUCAUGUUUUGCAGGAUUACGAGGAUGUCUUCCCAAAGGAAUUACCGCAAGGAUUUCCCCCACUUCGGGGAAUUGAGCACCAAAUAGAUUUUGUGCCGGGUUCACAAUUGCCCAACAAACCGGCUUAUAGGAGCAACCCGAUGGAUACCAAGGAAUUGCAACGCCAAGUUGAGGAACUCCUCAACAAAGGGUAUAUCAAGGAGAGUAUGAGCCCUUGUGAGGUUCCGGUGCUACUAGUUCCCAAGAAAUAAGGUACUUGGCGUAUGUACGUUGAUUGCUGAGCCAUCAACAAGAUAACGGUAAACUAUCGUCACCCUAUUCCUAGGUUAGAUGAUAUGCUUGAUUAAUUGAGUGGUUCGUGUUUGUUUUCUAAAAUUGAUUUGAGGAGUGGCUAUCACCAAAUUCGUAUGCAACCGGGUAAUGAAUGGAAAAUCGCCUUCAAGACCAAAUUCGGUCUUUAUGAAUGGAUGGUUAUGCUAUUCAGCCUAACAAAUGCUCCAAGUACUUUCAUGAGGCUAAUGAAUCAUGUGAUGAAGCCAUUUAUCGGAAAGUUUGUUGUUGUUUACUUUGAUGAUAUAUUGGUGUAUAGUAAGUCCUUAGAUGAGCAUGUAAAUCAUUUACAAUGUAUGUUUGAUGUCCUCCGAAAGAAGAGGUUAUAUGCUAAUCUAGAAAAGUGUUCUUUUGGUGUCCAUGAGGUUGUAUUUCUUGGGUUUUUGGUAAGCUCAAGAGGGGUCAAAGUGGAUGAAUCUAAGAUUGAUGCCAUUAAAAAUUGGCCAACUCCUAAAACCGUAGGUGAAGUGAGAAACUUCCAUGGGUUGACUAGUUCUUAUAGACAUUUUGUUAAAGGAUUUAGCACCAUUGCCGCCCCCUUGACCGGAGUGAUUAAAAAGGAUCGGCCUUUCAAAUGGGGAGAUGAACAAGUUAAGGCCUUCGAGGACUUGAAAACUAUGCUCAUCUCGGCCCCUUUGCUACAAUUGCCGAAUUUUGACAAGACUUUUGAGGUCGAAUGUGAUGUAAGCAAAGUCGGCAUAGGUGCGGUUUUAAUGCAAGAAUUGAAGCCUAUUGCCUACUUUAGCGAAAAGCUCAAAGGAGCAACUCUAAACUACUCUACGUACAAUUUAGAGUUGUAUGCCUUGAUUAGAGCCUUGGCCACUUGGUAACAUUAUUUUUGGCCUAAAUAAUUCAUGAUCCGAACGGAUCAUGAAUCCUUGAAGCAUCUACGGGCAUAAGACAAGCUUAACCGGCGGCAUGCCAAAUAGAUUGAAUUUCUUGAAACUUUCCUUUAUGUUAUUCAAUACAAGAAGGGUAAAGACAAUGUGAUUGCCGAUGCUUUAUCCCGAAAACAUAUGCUUGUGUCUACUUUGUCGUCUAAGUUGAUGGGGUUUGAAAGCCUCAAAUCUUUAUAUCCCGAGGACCCUCACUUCUCUCCUAUCUAUAGGGAAAGUGAAGAGUUGAAAAGGGAUAGGUGGGUUACGGAUAGGGGUUCCCAUCCCUAUACCAAAUUUGAUGGAUACUUGUUUAAAGGUAGACGAUUGUGUGUUCCCUCAAGUUCGUCGAGAGAAUAUUUGUGAGGGAAACAGAUAAUGACAGUCUAAUGGGCCAUUUUGGGGUCGAGAAGACCCUCGGAAUUUUGGAAGAACAAUUUUAUUGGCCUAGAAUACACAAAGAUGUGGCCCGAAUUUGCGGCCAAUGUGUUGAUUGUAAAGGAGCCAAGUCACGGAUCCAACCCCACGGGUUGUACACCCCAUUUUCCACCCCUUUGAGUCCUUGUCUUGACAUAUCAAUGUACUUCGUGUUGGGAUUGCCGAGGACUAGAAGGGGGCGGGAUAGUAUUUUUGUCGUGGUGGAUCGGUUUUCCAAGAUGACUCACUUUAUUCCUUGUUCUAAAUGUGAUGAUGCGCCUAGCGUAGCUUCUUUGUUUGUUGAUAAUGUUGUAAAACUUCAUGGUGUUCUGAGGACCAUAGUGAGUGAUAGGGAUUCUAAAUUCCUAAGCCACUUUUGGAAGCCCAUAUAGGGUAGACUCGGUACUAAGUUGUUGUUUUCGACUUUAUGCCACCCACAAACCGAUGGCCAAACGAAAGUAGUAAAUAGGACCUUAGGGUCUAUGCUACGAUCCAUGGUUAAAGGAAAAAUGACUUCUUGGGAGGAGCACUUACCGUUGAUUGAGUUUGCUUAUAAUCGUGUUAUACACUCGAGCACGGGGAUAGCACCCUUUGAGUGUGUAUACGGCAUCACCCCCCUCACCCCUUUGGAUUUAAUCCCUUUGCCAAGUGAUCUUGUGAUAAGCUUAGAUGGAAGCAAAUGGGCCGAGGCCAUGAAAAAGCUACAUGAGAAGGUGAGGUUGUAUUUGGCGAAAAAAAACCAAGAAGUUGCAAGGCGAGCCAACAAAGGAAGAAGAAAGCUCAUUCUUGAACCGGGAGAUUGGGUGUGGGUGCACCUAAGGAAGGAUAGAUUCCCGUCUCAAAGGAAUGCUAAGUUGAUGCCACGGGGUGAUGGCCCGUUCCAAGUAUAAGAAAGGAUCAACGACAAUGCCUACAAGAUUGAUCUACCCCCGGAAUAUCAAGUGCACAACACUUUCAACGUGUGUGAUCUCUCUCGGGUGGAGACGGUGGAGGAUGGCAAUGAUCCGAAUUUGAGGACAAAUUUCCUUCAAGAUGGAGAGGAUGAUACGGGAAUUCCCAGCUCGAGACCUUUCACACGAAGCCAAGCACGUGAGUUGCAGCGACUCCAACCUUGUCCACAUUCUUGUCCAUGUGUGAGGCCCUUGUGAGCCCAUCUAAGGGCCUAUAUUUAAUAAAAUGUAAAGAGGCCCACCAAGACACCCCAAACCCACCCACUUAAAUGNNNNNNNNNNNNNNNNUCAUUCCUAUUAUUCAAGAAACAAAGACUUGUAAAUUUUUUACUUCUCUUUCUCAUCAUUUGGAGAGGCCAAAACCAAAUUCUCACUAGUAGAGUGAUACUAGUAUUGUAUCUUGGCUAGAAACUAGGUUCUUGAGGUUCUUUGAGUUCCUCUUGGUACAAGUAAGAACUUGGUAUUGAUAUUUAUUAGUCUUAGGGUCCUUUCUCUUGUUAGGGUUCUUAGAUUAAUGAAUAUUGUGUGUCAAGUUUCUAUCUUUUUCUUUGUAAAUCUUGUUAACAUAGUGUUGUUGAAUAUAAAAGUCUAGUGAAGCCGUGCGGGGCUCUUUCGAUUCACUAGCAAUAUUGUCUUUGUUGUUCUUGUUAAACUCACUUUUCUAGUUCAAACAAGUGUUGCAAGCCUAGUGAAGCCGUGUGUGGCCAUUUUCGAGUUAUUCAUCUUGUUGUUCAUGUGUUGGUUGGAAUCUCUUGAUACACACUUAGCAUUGUAUCAUAAGGUCUACGUACACCUAACUCUCUCCAGUCCCUACUAGUGGGACUACAUUGGAUAUAUAAUUGCUGUUGUAGUUGGCUUGUGAAUCAUGAUAAAUCUUAAUUGGAUGUUGGUAUUACCAACAGAAAUACAAAGUACAAAUAUUGCCACGCCAAACGAAGUAACAUGACAAUAGAAGCCAAAAUUUGAGAAUCAAACCAAAACUAUUGACACAAAACGGGCACUCAUCAAAUUCAAGUAGAAUAGCUAAACAAAUCUUUCCUACAUUCCUCUUUACAAAAAUAGCUAAACAAAGUUCCUACAUUCCCCUCCGCGCUUUCGAUGAUUGUAACAAACAAAAUGAGGUCCGGGAGAUACGCUUUCGGGUUUCAUCUUUUUCUCUUGGCAGCAGCUCCAGAACCUCGGCCACCUCUCUCACUUAUCACUGCUAUUAGAACUUCCACUUCCUGCAAAGGCUUGGAACCCUGUUGUAAAUGAAAAACAGAUAAAAGGGAAAGACGAGAAAGAAAGAGCGUUAACAGGUAGGAGGAGGUCACAGACAGUAAAUAAUUGCAGAAAAAUGCAGGAGAAGAUCGAAUUGUUCCAGAACUCUAAUUUUUUCUCAACAUCUGCUGAGUUAACCGAAACAAGCAAUAACAUCAUUAAAUACUGCUCCCAGUCAUUUGUAAAAGGAAUUCACUGUUCUAUAUAAGAGAAAUUUCAUGACCUACUAAUGUUCUGAAUGAAUCUGGUAAAAUGCGAAAUUAUCCCUAACGACCAGAUUGAAAUAAGAGAAAAAAGAAAAUGCUGAUAGCAUAGACAGUAAGGGGAUUUCUUCACAACUGCCAUUGCAACCAAAUGCAGAAAAAUAAUUCUUAACUACAUGAUGCAACUGAUACCGAAGGAAUUAUCUAUCAUUAAGAUUCUUCAGUUCAACUGCUACGGUACUAUGCUUUUAAUGGGAAAGCUGAGUAGGCGGAAUACCUGUGUCUUCUGUGUCUGAUGAGUUCUUGGGAGCUUCCGGGAAGAGUAAUUAAAUCUGUUGAACGAAUAACAUUUGAUUUGCUUCCUUGGUUGUGUAUGCCUUUGUUAGUGCAGCUUUCACAUCAGGCCGAACACCAUCCAGAAGAGUCGGACAUCCCUGGAGCAAAUGCAGUCAACACAUGAACAGAUUUUAAAAGUGGUCACCGGAAUUAGGAGAAGACUGAAAACAAUGGUAUACCUUGAAUUUUGACAGCUCCACAAUAUUAUCAAAGUCCUCCUGGCUUAUAGAGUAUGAAUCCUUGAAAUCCACAACAUUCUUUACAGCUUCAUCCUGGAAAUUACAUUCAUAUAUUAGAAUUAUACAAACAAAUAUACACAACGAAAUUCAGGUUAAGCAUGAAUAAUCCACCUUAGGCAGAACUCUUAAUGGAUCUGUCAACUUCUUUCCAAGAAGUGUAAAGUAGUCCAGUCUCAGGUUUUCCCUGAAAUGUAUGAGAAGAUAUAUUAACCAGCUGCCACGGAUGCAUAAAGACUAUCUGUACGGGCGAUAUGCAGGAAGAAAUUAUUGGAAGGAACUUUGACAGACUUCCAAAUUUUGGAAGAAAAGUGAACGCAAAACACAGGAAUCCUGCCAUAGGUUUUCAAAAGUUCUCUGGUCAACCACUAAUUUUUCAACAAUUGAUUAACACUACCACCCAUGCACAAGAGGACUAGGACAAGACACUGCAUCAUGGAAACCCCAUUCGCUUAAGAGGGUUAUCUGUACAGUUCUGACUACAGAUGCACUUAUGUAGGUAUUGAAAAAGAAUUGUAUAACAAGUUCUUAAUCAAGAACAAUUGUCUGAAAGCAGGAUAGAUCUUAAUAUUUGUACUUGCGGAGAUAAGAAAGAUCUAGAAACGAAAUUAAAAACACCAUAAGAUGGAGAAAAUUAGAAAACAGCGAUAACAAUAAAAGGAACAUGUACUCUUAACUGAAAGGAUCAUGGAAAGCAAUCAAAGUCCUUGAAAACUAAUGUAAGAUUGCAAGACAGAUCGAAUGAGAUUAACAAGUAUAUCAGGUCAGAAGACAGGUGAGAAGAAAACUAAUAUGUCAGAUAUGUAAAUAGUUAAACUGAAUACAGAAGAAAGUACAGUACCUUCCCAAAUGAGAUUUACGAGAUGAGAGUCCUCCAGAUGCGAGUAGGUGAAUAUGCAAGUCCUCCAGAUUUCGGUAAUUCUUUCCCAUUGUAGAGUUCUGCCCUAUCCAGCCAGCAAACCUGUUACAGUUGAAUUCAUCCUGCAACAUUUAACACUCACUGUAAUUUAGGAGGCCUCAAACGAGUCCGGAUUGGAUGACAAUCAAAAUAAUAUUCAUCAAAUGAAAACUCCAGGAAAGCGGAUAAAUGGUAGGCAAAGAUUAUCAUAGAAGAAAUCCUAGGAUAUAAGACAUACUGAAACAACACCAUUGGAACACAAUUCAACUUUUCGGCAUUAAAUACCAAUACUGAAGCACCAGCAAUUAUCUAAUGUAGAAAGUCAAUAGAAUAACAGGAUUUGUAGACAAACUUACACUCAGCCAUCAAAGUUUAAAGAAAGGAGUAAAAUAUUGAGCUUAAAACGAUAUCAAAGUUAUGUUCAGCCAUCAGAUCUGAUAGAUGGAGGAUAAGAAGCAACAAUCACCUGCUCAAGAAUCUUCCUCUGUCCGUGCAACAAAGAAGCACUAUAAUCAGGGGAAAAAAAGGAACGAUGAAGAGGCCACCAGCAUUAUAAGAUAAAGUUAAAUGCAACUGAACUCAAGAAUAUCUUAGAAAAUUGUCUUACGGAAUUAUGCAACAUGAAAUGCAACCAGCUGGAGAAAGUUGCCACUGCUGGUAUCUUCCAAUUUGUACAUUUAUUAAGUCACUAUCUGCAAUGGAGUCCGCAGCACGUGCAAUUAGGCUCAUCCGCUUUAAGUCACUAUCAUCUUUGCCAGCAGAACUUGGUUUGUAAUUGAAAUAGUUCUCCUGCCAUUACACUCGGAAACAGUUAUACCAAAACACAUGGAAGUCUACUCAUAAAAUAUUUUAAACUAUCUUGACACUUUCUCCAAAGCUUUUGAAUCCUAAUAUACCAAAGCCGAACCUAUAUCAAGUGAAUAUUAGCCUUUUGUUGCCUACAACUCGUUUAGUGAGGCAAUUGAUACGGCAUAGAUGAUAUACAUGAUAAUCAAGUACAAUAACGAGUAAUAGAAAGAGGAGGUAUACCAAUACUGCUGAUACGCAUGGGCAUGGCAACAAAAAAAUGAAAAAGAAAAGUGAACCAUCUGCAGCAUACAGUUAGCUUUAUAGUAUAGAACCCAAGACAACAAACAUCUUGUAACAACAAAGCCCUUCAGCACUUGUACAGACAACAGCCUUUUCUCGAACACAACAAGUUAUAAGCAUGAUGAAAGUUCUCCAAGGUCUCUAAGUGAAAGUGAGAAAACUGAGCAGGGAUAUACAAAAAAUAAAUAAAUCAAAUAACAGUAAAUUUUAAAAAGAAAUAGCAACCUUAUGGAGUAGAGAGUACCUGGACAAGAAGCGGGACAAGAUCUGGGUCACUCAUACUUAGGUCAAUUCUUUGAUCUAUUUUUAAGUUCUUGGCAUUAAAAUAAAACAGCCUAUCAACACAGAAACAAACACAACUGGUCAGUUAAAAAAUAAUAUUUAUGCCAACAUAGGAGUAUGCAUGUACUAGAGUGAAAUCAUUCACUAGGCAAUUGCAAGCUAUUUAUGGCAGAAUUUGAAGUUCUGUAACAAACUGCAACAUCCAAAGCAAGUGACGAUUAUACAAACUCUGUAAGAGAACAAUGUUCAAAGAAGCUGAGUACAAACCUAUACUCCUGCACGACAUGUUAAUAGGAAAUCUCUACUUGGUUUCAAGCAUACUGAUAUGCUGAGUGAUGUGAAACAUCAAGCACAUACAUGGGACUCAAAGCCCUUGAACUGAGCUUUAGAAUUUCAGUCAACACAUACGGUUGUAUCAUAGGGCUUUAACAAAUAGCAGUAUAUGGUUAUAAAAACAGAGCUGUUUUAUUGCCCAAAUCUUGCCUUUUCGGAAAUACCAACACAUCAAAGUGAUGCAUGUUAUUGCCUUUAAAACCAUUGAUAUAUGCCAAAAUAAUUUUAUACUCCUACAUUCGUGUGUCAGUUCAAUUCCAAACAUAUGUUUUAAAAUGUCACUAGAGGAUCAAAAUGAGGGGUAGUUGAUCCAUGUUGCACGGACUCUUCACUUUCAAUGCCGCAAAAAUACACCAGCUUUGGAGAAUCCGACACACACCCAUUGACAUUCUUGAAGAGUCUGAGUAAUAUAGUAGUUGAUUGAUUGAAAAAAUAAUCAAAAGAGGAUCUUUGUUUAUAUUCCUCGACAGAAUCCUGAUUAGUGGCUUUCCUGUUAAUUUCCACCCCAAACAAAGUAGAUAUAUGACUUCCAUUGUAGGUGGUUAAUAAAUCAUAUAGCAAUUGGUAAGUGAUUCUAAAGACAGAGACAGAAGGGGUUUGGUUUUAGCAGUACUUCAAAAAAGAAAGUUGAUUAGGAUAUCUUUACAACAAUUAUAGAAAAACUCCACUCCUUUAGAAGCUGCUACAUAAAUCAGAGAAAUCAAAGUGCUGGCCUUAAAGAGCCAAGUGACAAUAAUCAUAUAGGAAAGACGAUAUGGUGGAUAGGGGAAGAGCCAGAUGCUAUUGAGCCAAUCAACUACUUUCUCAAUCCAAAAAAGAUGAGAGCUGGUUAUAGGGCCAUCCAUCCAACAUUAAAUGAUUUGUCUUAAGGACAAACUACUAUAACUAGAGGUACUCUCACACUUAUCUGCAUAUGGCUAUACAAAUCUCUAACAAAAAUAAAGACUUCUAGCAAACACUCAACUAAUGUAAGUAUAAAAAUUAACAACUAAACAAUAUUCAUGUAUCUUUUAUUUUCAAUGUGUCCUUAUCUGAGCAAACUGCACCCUUUAACAGUGAAUCUUGCUUAUCUACAGUGUGGAGCAGUGAGGUUGUUACAGCAAUAGCAUUGGUCAAUCUACAGAGAUUUUGCUGCUCUAAUACUUUAAUCUUAUUGAUGCUUUUGUUUAGAUUUAAUGGAACUUCAUGUUCCAAAGUGCACUCUACUAUUGAUUGACUUAUCUUUCCAGGAAAGACAUCUCUGCUACACCACCUAACAACAUAUUCAUAUUUCCAUGUAGAUCCUACAUGGAAAUCACAAUACCUGCUUGGAUCUGAAGCCGACUAUUUUAGUAGAGCAAGAGCUGAAAAAUUUAUUCCUCCCCCCCCNNNNNNNNNNNNNNNNNNNNNNNNNNNNNNNNNNNNNNNNNNNNNNNNNNNNNNNNNNNNNNNNNNNNNNNNNNNNNNNNNNNNNNNNNNNNNNNNNNNNNNNNNNNNNNNNNNNNNNNNNNNNNNNNNNNNNNNNNNNNNNNNNNNNNNNNNNNNNNNNNNNNNNNNNNNNNNNNNNNNNNNNNNNNNNNNNNNNNNNNNNNNNNNNNNNNNNNNNNNNNNNNNNNNNNNNNNNNNNNNNNNNNNNNNNNNNNNNNNNNNNNNNNNNNNNNNNNNNNNNNNNNNNNNNNNNNNCUUUUCCGACAAUAGUCCACUCAAUUUAUGAUGUUCUACGGCUUGUUUUCUAUUUUAGAUUAGUUCCCAUGACACAGAAAUUAUGCAUUUACAUUGUAAGAGCAUCAUAAAUCAAAUGUCAAAAGAAAGAAGAAAAAAGAGAGCAAAAUAACCAAUUGUUUUUACCAGAAGGUUUAUGUUGAUACAUGAAUAUGAGUCCCCCCUAAAUGAACUAUGGAGUUGUUGUUUUUUUUGCUGAUUAGUGCUAAGUGCUGUUAUUCCAAAUAUUACUAAUUAUUGAUUGAUCUGUUCAAUAACACACAAGGUAGUGGAAAUAAUCACUCCUGCAAAUAUUUGGACACAAUACACUGAGAAAACCCAACAUAGCAAUCCAUAUACGGGGAAAAGCUUGGACGUUAUAUAGAAAAUACUAGAAGGAAAGUUGAAUCUAAGGCGUGCAUACUUUUCUAUAGCUUUGAACGGUGAGAUAUCCUCAUCCUUUGACCUGCUUAGAAGGUGUUGCCUUUUGGCGAGACUUAUGUAUUGCAAUUGAUUUAGAGCCAUACGCAUAUCUCCAUCAACACGGUCUGCCAAUUCCUCAAGAGCAAUCUAGAAAAGAUAAAGAAGAAGAAAAACAAUCAUGAAACUCAGAAAGUUUGCAAAUGUAUGUCCAGACAACCAAAAAAGGAAAAACUUUCCCUCUGUUUUGUAGUAGCACCACCAAAUUAUAUAUGCUGUAACACAUUUAACCAGGAAAGAUCUCAACCAAAUAUGUAUCAACACAAAUGCAUGUAGUGGUUUCCAUCAGAGCUACAAAUAGAGAAAUGUUUUGAUUGUAAGACUACUUUUGGACCUUGCUUAUUUAAUUUUUAUACAAAAAGGAACUCUGAUCAUCUACUCCAUAAAAGAUCAUAGGCCUCCAUCUGGGUGUUUAAGACAUGGUUUACUUUAUCAUGCACUUCAACAAACCAACAAUAUCAAACAAAAAUACAAUAGUCCAUAAGUGUGGACAAGUGAAACAAUAUUUUUUCAGGGAUGAUAGCUUUUGAACUAAACAAGACAGUUCCAAAGAACUUUUCUUCAGCACAUCUUUUUCACAUUGUAAUAAGAACUUAUGCAAGUUGUUGAAAGAGAAUAAACCUCAUUGACUUGAAUGCCUUCAGCAUUUGCCACUUGCUUUAACCUCUUUGCCAUCUGUCAAAGAAUACUAUUAGCAGUCAAACUUCCAAUGAAUAUUUUCAACUCAUGUCUGCCAUAAGAGAUCCAGAAAGAACACCAGAAACUUUGUUGAUAGAGAAACAUUACUGAAGCAAGGAUAGCUUGGAUUUU